UUUGUCUUCUCAGCUCUGUGUUGCCUCAAUGCUCUGCUGCAACCUACAAUCUUGUCAACUGACUGUGGAUGAUGUUCUCAUACUGCCAAGUGGCUGUUGGGUUUUGAUUUUUGGGAUGAUAAUCUUGUAAAUUGUUCUACAUCAUGUAUUGUGCUUCUUGUUAUGUACUUGGUCCAACCAUUAUGCUUGUUACCAAGCAUAUGGUUGAGGGGGAUGUUAAGUAUAUAAGGAUAGUUGAGUCAUUUACUAUUAUCCCUACCGAUAUAAAGCUAUGAGUUGUGUACACUGUUCAUCAAUUGAGAAAUACAAGAUGUAGACGUUUACUCUCUCCUGUGUUUUCUUUACUUUUCUGCUUAGCAUUUUCAAUUCAAUAAUUCCAUGAAUCCUAUCAGUCGAAAGGGUUGAUAGAAGAGGAAAAGUUGAGCUUGGCUACUGUGAUUACGAAUCCGGAGGAGUAUUUCUUAAGUAGAUUUGUCACCAGAUAUGUCGACCAAGUACCUCAGUUGUCGAAUAUAUACCAAGGAAAAAUGGAUGUGCAGGAUGUAUGAUCUUGGUCACACAGUUUCUAGGCUGAUAGUGUUGAAUAUCUGAAGUUUCUAUUGGAAGAAAUUAAAUGUUGCAUUGAUCACUAUUUUUCAUUACUAUAACGAGAUCAUUUCUAACCAGUGUCUCUGUUCUGGAAGUAUAAUAUAAUCCCUUCGAGUGGUUGCUGUUGACGAGUAUCUGAGAAGGAGCAACAAGUUAGCUUGUUAUUAAUCGUUUUCUAAUAACAACUUAUUCCGCAGCAUAUAACCAAUCUUCUAUCUUCCUUCUUGAGCUUCAGGCAUUUUCCCUAGUUUAAAUGGUUGAUUGACUUUGAUCGAGUUCUCCAGCUACCCUAAUCAUAUUUUCUGCUUUAGAGUAUUCCAAUACUCCCUAGCAUCAAACAUGAUCUAACUUCAUAAUCUAUAUCCAGAUUUAGAGAACUCCAAUGAUCAUAUUAGCUUUCCUAUAACAUGGUGUUGUAACUGUUGCUGAACCAUGGCCAGAGAUGCAGGUGUGACUGAGUAGCUUCAUCUUAUGUGUAUGUACAGCUUGGAUACAGAUUACAGAAUCAUCCCAAGGUUUUCGGUUGUUAGAGUUUUGAUGUUGAAAGGAUUGAUUAAAGAGGAAAGGUUGAGUUUCACUACUGUUUUUGCGACUCCAGAGAAGUACUUCUUGAAUAGUUCUUUCCAGAUUUCUGGACACAGUACCCCGACUUUCGAUAAGUACCAAGGAAAAGCGCAUAUAUGCACUUCAGCCCAGUUUGUGAGGUUAGUUUGUAACGCACUUGUAGGCUUGAUAGUUUUGAAUAUGGCUUGUCAACAGAUAGCAUUGGAAGCAGCAUUCUCAGUAAUGACUAUAAAGAGAUUUCUAAAUUAUCGUCUCUGCCUUACAUUCAGUUUGUUUGUUACUAGAAAAUAUAUUACUUAUGAUCAUGUCCUCAGUCUGAAGUCUGCACUUAGAAAGGAGGUUUCUAAUUUAUCAUGUCCUGUUAGAUUAUUGAUUGGUAGCAAUUAGGUGAACGGGUUCUGUGCCAUUGCUGCCCUCAGUAAUGUCCCUAGACUACUCAUUGGUUUUAAGGUCUCUCGAAUCUGUGAAAAGCUCUAACGAAAGUCGUCAGCUGCAUCUGUAUUUGCCAACUGUGGGCACGCUGCAAGGCAUGUCUGUUCUCUACUAGUCAAGAGGGGAUCCAUGUUAAGCUGAUAGCUUUAGGUAUCGAAACAGCUAGGAUAAGAUUCUGCAACAUGAAUUUCUAUCAAUUAACGAACACCUUCUUAUUAAGUUGUGGAUUAGGAGAUAAUGGCUAACCCAACUCAAUGAAAAGCGUUGGUUCCAUUUCAACAUUAAUAUGUUCGUUCUGAAAAGUUCAACUGGGAUUCGAUCCACUCGAUGUUUGCUGUGACUUUUGGUCUAGAUUGUCAUACUAAAAUCUGGAGUUCAGUUAUUCACUCGUUUUCCUUACUGUCAUGGCAAUAGAGAAAAGUUCAACUUUCUUGUAGCUGUUGAUAACUAGUAGUGAGGAUCUGUGAUCUUUGCUAUGUUGUAGGCUGAUAGUGCCAAUUCCAGAGGCACCACCAUUUGAUGCUUGGACUUUGGAGUAGAAAAAACAGGUUUCUGUAUGAUUUUCAUGAGUAGGUAUAAUCACUGUCUCAGUUUGUACUUAGCAAAGAGGUUUCUAAAUUUUCAUGUCCUGUCACUUCAAAUUUAUCCUCAAGAAUCAGAUGCUCAUUUCUUGUAGUUUCGAACUGUAAAUAUGUCUGUUUCGCAACAAGACUGGCUAUAAUAUGUAAACAACAGUCUAAUAAUAUGUAAUCACACAUGUUCGGGAAUAUACGCAGAAUCACCAUCAGAUGAAAAGACUAAUUAAAUUUCUAGGAUGAUGGGGUUAGGAAAAAAUUUGGCUUCUCUACUUGGAUUUAUGUUGUUUGGAUUUGCUUGGAUGACUUCUAACCAUUGGAUCAAGUACAAUCUAAGACGAACAUGUCAUCCUUACUUCAUCUAAUAGUUAUAAGACAUCCAAGCAAAUCCAAACAACUUAAAUCUAAACGGAGAAUCCGGAUCCGUUGGGAAAACAUGACAUAUUUUACUUUGGCCUCACUCUGGCUCACUUUUCAUCGGCAUCGUUAGGCAAACUUGCUAAUUGCUAUGGCUUGGGUACCAACAGCCUCACCUCACUUGUCACGGCCGCGUGGGCAGUUACUAUUAGUCUCACCUCAUUUGUAUGGGCAAGGGUGGUGGGCAUUGUUAGCCUCACUUAGAAGUUGCUCUGAUAACUUGGCGUCAGCAGUGUUAGCAUCACUUGUAUUGAGCCUCACUUGCAUGAGCCUGAGCACCGGUAGAGUCUAGCUUAGAUAAAACCUGCGGCAAAUUUCAGUUUCUUGACUUCAGAAAGCAAGGACAAGCACAUGCCAACUGAGGGAAAAAUCAAGCUGCACCAAGUGUGGGUAAGUUCAGCCAUACACCAAGUUAUGCGAAGCAAGAUCAAGUAAAGACCAAGUAUGGGUAACGUUUGGUUGGUGUUCGAAACGCACAAAAUCAAGCGAACACAGUACGAGAGCACUGCCUAUUGAACACCAGUGCAGGAGCUUAGUCUCAACAGGCCGAAGGUCGAAAAACAUAAUGAUGGAAGGGGGGAGGAGGAAGCAACAAAUUGAAGUGUGAUAUAGGGCUUAAUAUCAAUGGAUUAUGACAGCCAGGCCAUUCUACCACUCAUUAUCCCAUUGCUCAUUGAAGUCGUCUGCAAAGGUUUUUUUUCCCACAACUUGGGUAUUUCAGAGCAUCUCUCACAACCUGUGCACCUCUGGACUUGGCCAUAAUUAGGCGCUAACUGUGGGUCGGUAAUCAAAACCUUUCCGGCUUUCCUGAUUAGAGCAUAUAAAGACCAAGAGUUGGUUACUACUCUAGGCGUGUUCUUCCGUUUAGGUUGAAUCACCCGCACCAUCUGUCAUCUGCUUGAAACGAAGACGAGGGCAAACCGACAAAGAGGGAAAGAUGAAGGCUCAGAAAUUUAAGUGGCCGUGGAGUAGAAGAUAAAUAUUUUCGACCAAGACCGAGAAGUGGAGAGAGCAAAAAAAAAAAAAAAAAAAAAAAACAGCCCUAGUCCUGUGUGUAACACCAAACCUAGACCUCUAAAUUCAAAUUCAUCAAAAGACAUUUUCAAACUUUGAUUUCAAAACUCAGGAACUGGCUAAACUAUAGUGAGUCUUAAUAAUCCUCAUAAGACAGGCCAAUUCAGGAAAUGAAGAGGUAACUUUAUUGAUAUGCUCCGCUAAUCAUCGGAGAUGAAUUUUAUUGAUACAUCCAAUGGCCAAUUGAAAUAAUUAAACUUUAUUAUCUAAACCUAUAUGAAUGUUAUUGCUAUGGGUUAAGUUUAAAGUAUAAAACUAUAUACCAACAUCAAAGAAAAUUUUGAACAAGAAUAUCACAUCAAAUUCAGUACUACCUAUAGCUGCACCUGCCCCAGUUGCUCAACCUGAAAGCAGAUCCAUGCUCAAGUCAGUAAAUUACCAAUGAAACUGCUAGAUCCUAAUUCAAACAUCUCAAGCACUUUGAAAGCUUAUACAUAACGGUGUAUUGCUAACAUGCAAAAUGAUGACAUUUUCGUGUGGAAGACUAAAGAUCAUAAAUAUUAAAGAGAAGGCCAGAGUGCCAAUUUGGCAGAAAUACCAAAUCGUAAAUUACAAAAAAUUUCAGCAUGGAUUGCCUACUUUCUACACAAGAUAUAGAAGAAACUUUGCAAAUAAAGCAUAUAGUCAUAUACUAUAUGCUCCUAAGGUUCAAUAACAAUCAAGUAUGGUCAUGAGCAUUAUCUGCAUUUUUCUUUUACUCCUUACACAGCACUGUCAUUGACAAUUAGUAGUUGGACUCCCACAACCUAAAUAUAUACAUGCUUUGUUUUUUCAUUUUUGUGCUUUUCCUUCAACAUUCAUGUUCUCCCAUCUAAGUAACCUAAAAUGGCUUUUCCCUUGGGAUGAACAGAAAUGAACAAAAGCCCACUGUUAGAAAAGCAACUAUUAUAUCUUGGGGAAAAGAGAGUAUUCACUUCUUGUAUCUGCAUCUCACACAAAAGUAAACUAGGUUUUUUUUUCUUUUCAAUUUUUUAUGAUAGGAAUUCUCUUAUUUGAGAGACACUGAUACAUAUUCAAUAGAAGAUCAACUGAUUGCUACGUUUAAACCAAGUUCAGAAGUCAAUGAACGAUCGCUGAAAAUUGUGAAAAUUUUACCUGUGAGAUCUGAAGGAAAGACCUAAAAAAUAUCCACCUCCCCUUCUCUUCACACAGAUGUCUUUUAUAUACAAAAGUUGCCACUGGCAAGAGAAAGUACCGAAUAAAAGUUAGAGAAGAAGGCAGACAGUAAAAACAAUAAAGCAAAUUUUCAUUGCUACGGCUACACAAACCUUUGAUGUAAGAAAAGCAGAACCCCAGCACUGGGAGUUUCAUGGAUAGCACUGACAAUAGUCUCAUUUACACAGUUUUCUGAUUCGAUCUCUAUUAAGGCAGCAAGGAGACAAAGUGAAGGAACAACCUGUUCAUGUUACAUUCUACCAAAAUCAAACUCAAGAGAUGUUUUUUGGAAAGUGAAAGGAAACAGAGAAAAGAAAAAAGAUUAGAGGGCGGGAAAUAAAGAAAAUCUAAUAGAAGGGCAGCAUACCUGCAACUUCCAAUUUUUUUAGCUCUCUUUACAUAGUGCCGAUAUGGCUCAUUCUGUAAAGUAAGAUCAGACAAUUCAUGCACAUACUGGAAGACUUGCAAUGCAGAUAACAGAUUGUUAAGAUAAGUUAACCAGCUGAAGAAGAAAGCCCCAAUUGAACAUGUGGUUCUCAUCAUUAUGUAGAACUAUUAUAUCUUCCAACACAUUCUUCAUAUCCACCUUUUGAAUGCUGCUCAGAAUCUUUUUCAGAAGAGCCUUAAAUAGUGAUGGUUCAAAGUCCUCGAAAUGACUAUUGGUUAUUGAGAUCCGAUGACCCACUUUGGAUCCAUACAGUGAUGGAAAACAGAUCUAGGAUCACAGAGAAUAAAUUGGGUAGAAGCUCCUCAGUAUAUAUGAACAGAAAAAUUUUGGUGACAACCAGAUCUCCCGGUACAAGUUCCAAGCUGUACAGCAGAAAUAUCCAGGUCAUCCCUUCACUGCAUGAGACCCAAGGACUCACCAAUAUGGUCUUCAUGUAUUAAUAUCAUCCCCACCACCAUCUGGACUCUUCUGACGGAUAUUGCUAAUGGCUUCCGUUGCAAGCCGUACCAAACGUAGUAAUCCCUCUACAUCCUGGAAGUUAAAGUCAAGAGCCCUUUUAAUGGAAGAGAUGCAUUCGGAAUACUUAGAUUCUCCCACAGCAGCUGCAAAAGCAAGAUGUGAUCUCUUUGAUGCGUCCAUUGCAUUAUGUACAUCUUGUGUCUGCAAUUCAUCAAUUUUGAGUAUAUAGUUUGUUCAGUCAUCAACCCAUAAAAACAUUGCUAGUGAGAACUGUGAGUGAGUAAGUGAGGAGGGGGGAAGGGGUUGGAGGCGUGUUACAAAAUGGAAGCAGUGCUCAGGUCCCAAAUAUAAGGAAUGACAGAUUAAAAGUUUCAAUAGAAGAUCAAUGAAAACUCACAAAUUUCAGCAUCCGGACAAAAUUGGGACGAUUUCGAGCAGCAAUGACAUGGUUUCCAGCAACUUGGGGUGAGCUGACUCCCUUAGGUAAGGGAACCUUGUCUGCGGUUGAGGGAUUGUUUAAGUUGUCAACAUCAGAGGCAGAGGAAGACGGAGAUUCACCUGAUAGAAAACCAACAGAGAAUGGCAAAUAAGUUAUUAGAAAAAAAAAUUGUUACAAGAGCUUUGCGCCUUCUUUAACACCAAAGCAGCAAAAAUAAAAUUUAAUUUACCAGGAGGAACCAUUUGUAAAGCUGUUUGCAACUCAUGUCGGUCUCUGCCUGCACUGGAAUGCGAGGAGUAGAUCACUUUCAAAUAAGCCACCUCCAAGCAUUUGAAGGCCAAAGCAGCAGAAGCCAUGUCUUUGGAUUUUUCAUAUUCAUGAGCACAAAACCUAUAGAUAUUUUAAGUUAGAAAGGAAAAGCAGGGGGCUACAAAAAGUGACAAAAGCUCCCGAAUCAAAAUAGAAUUAAAAUCCACAAAAAAAAAAGAAGAAAAAAACAGUUAAAGAAACAAAUCUACUACGAGAAUCCCUGCAGAAAGGGAUGGCAGACAACAGAUAGAUUUGCAUAGUAUGGUAUAACACCAUAUACCUUGUGCAAAGAAAGAUGAGUCAGCUUCACCAAGCAUGAAGUCACAAAAAAGCUCCCAAUUUUAUAUAAUUUUUUUCUAGUGAAGUUACCUACUCCCCAAGGCAAAAGCACCAACCCCUUGGCCAGUACACUCUUUCAUCUACCUCCCAAACGAAAAGACCCUCACAAUCACACUAGAGAAACACAAAAUACAGGCUCCAAUUACUCCUAAAGAUUUCUGUUAAGUACCCUCCCAUAUUAAUUUGGGAUCCAACACCACACCAGCAUUCCAUGAGUGGUAGCAGUGUCUCACAUGCAAGGUUGGAGGGAUAUUAAUUUGAGGAUAUGAAGAAGUACAGCAUGACUCAAUUCAGGAAUGUUAAAAAAAAUGACUGAAAGGAUAUGAAAAAUGACAGUCACAUAGAUCGGUGCAUGUCUAGAAGGGUUAAUACAGCUCAAGUUUGACUUACUGGCAUAGUGCUGCAGUGCUUCUAUAAAUUUGCAUGGAUUCAUUAUGCUUGGCACUCUCAGUGUUGGCAGAUUCUAAGAGAGAUGCAGCGUGAAGAAAUUUCAGGACCGCCUGGAAGUAAAGCCCCGUACUAUCAUUUUCCUCAUUGUUCUGCAAAGAUCAACAUUAAAUACAAUUUGUACAGAAAGGAGCAGCAACAUCUAGUCAUGAAAAUAUAAUAGGGUAAGACCUUGUAACGAUCAGCAAGGUGUUUCAUAUCUUUAGCUUCUUUCAGAAUACACAUAUAGGCCGGGGUGGAAGAAUCCCUUCUAGCUGGACUAGGGGCAUCAAGAUCCCUAGGUCUAUGCCCAUUCUGUGCACGAUGUCUUGAACUAAUAUGCUGAGUUCCAUUCUGAGUAUCAGCUUUUCUGUUCCGCAUUUGCACCUUGACUGAAUCAUUACCUUCAGAGCCAUCUACUUGUAAUAUAUCUGCUCCAUUACCUUUGUGAGAACCAGAGACUGGUCGGGGACAACGAGUCAUUUCUGGUUGAGCUCCUCCAGAGGGUGGCAAGGGCAGUGACUUUCCCCUUGUCGAACCUGCAUCUACUCGGUCACUUCUUCCAGAAGGAAUUCUCUUUGAAGACCUUUCACUAUCAGAUUCUGGCUGCUUCUUCGGAGUCGAAAUCGCGUCUCUUGGGUAAAUAGCAUCUAGUCUAACAUCUGGGCCAUCAUGCCCCCCAAAAUUAGACUGGUUCUCCCUUUUGCUACUCUCAUUCAAGGACUUCCCCAGCAAAUCUUUUUUACUAACAUAUUUGUUCUCAGUUUCACCAUAUUUGUUCACCUUCUCCGGCAAUUUGUUUUUAACAUCUCUAGGUUUCAUUCCAAGUGAUGGUGAAUGGUCAUGCUGUUCAUUGACAACAUUAGAAUUCCUGGCCUUCCCCAUGUCCAAAUCAGAUUCGUAGCUCUGCUUGUCCUUUGACCGUGAAGAGUGGCUCUUUCCUGAAUUUCUUGGGCGAGACCCCAGAGCGUUAUAAUGGCUGCCAUUCCCUCUGUCUUCACCAGCAAAUUGACUUGGAACUAGUGGUUUAAUAGGAGAACGACUAUCUGGUCCUGAAUUAUCCAAAGCACCAUUCACAGGAAAAUUAUUCGUAAUAUCCGGAGAUGCUACAAUCUGUCCCCUAGCUUUACCACCAGAUAUGCGACUACGAUCUCUGUCCUGAACAUCAAGUACUGAAGGUUCAGACCUAUGAUAAGCCCCGGAGGGAACUUUAUCCUUUCUCGCUGUCCCAGAUCGAUCAAUCCUGCUGUCAUCUUCACCAUCUGAGCAUCGUUGUGGGCUACCUAACGACAAACGACCAGCAUCUUGUGACUCGUCCUUUGGCCUGAGGUCUCUAGGUACUAAUUCAUGCUUAUCAGGGUGUAAGAUUCUCAUAGGUGAUGAUGAAACCGAUUCUACAGGCGAACCUUUAAUUUCUUGAAAGCUGGAUUUGGUCUUUUGGGAGCCAGAAACUUUGGAAGAGCUUGAAGUGGCAGCCACAGAAACCUGAACAGAUCCCGAAUCCUUCUUCAAAGAAUCCAUACCAUUCUGACUCCGCUGAAUUCUAAUGCUUGUAUUCUUCGCAGAUUGUUGCUUCUUUAUAUGGCUACUCUUUUUGUCUGUUCUACCACUGCCUUUGCUUGCACUGGACUCUUUUGCCUCAGAUUUAGAUACUCUUGCCUUCUUUUCCUUCCUACAGUCAUUCUCACUAAACUCUUCCUUCACUGCAACGGAACGGUCUGGAAGGGAACCCUCAUGAAUUUCAGGAUAUUCCCUCAGUUUUCUCUUUUUCGGUCUAUCUCUGAUAACAUUACCCAUGCAAACUUCAUCUUUCACUUUGGUAAGAGUAGCAGCCCCUAGCCUGUCCUUAAGUCGAUCUUUUCCUGCUUCAGUAGUCAGAAAACCACUACUUGAGCUAGGACCAACCUCGCCAUCAGGUCCGUGGUGAUCUGAUGCCCAUUCUUCAUCAGUCAUACGCCUACCUUCGCUCUUGAUUUUCUUUGGAGCUCUAGAAGUAUCUGGAUCAAAGUCCCUUCUGUUCUUAAUCUUUAAAUUGUUGAUAUGACCUGUAAUGGAUGUUAUCAAAGAGUAUGUAAGAUUAAGCAUUAUCAGCAAAAUUUCAAAAGCACUAACAAAUUCAUGUAGUAAAUAAAUUACCUCCAUCAUAAGAGGAACCUAAAACUGUUUGCUUAUCUUUGUGCUUAUGCUUCCGUUUCUCCACUGCCAAGCCACUGGAAUUGCUUAACUGCUGAAAAUUGGGCUCGUUCAGAGGUGAAGAUUGGUUAACAUCAUUCAAGCUUUUACUCUUCAGUGAUGCCUGUAUGUUCUUCAUAGAGCCUGGCAGCAGGACAGAACCAUCUUUAUCACUUGCCUUUGACACUUCUUUCAAUCCAUUUUUUUUCAUCCCACCACCAGGGAUGGCAUGCACACCAAAAUUUUGGGGGUUUUGAUCAGGGUGCCGAAAAUUAGCCAGUGCCACACCUUCCAUAGAGCCACCAGGAUUAUUGAGAAGAUUAGUUUGACUCCCAGGUGCAGGAACAUGGUAUUGUGCAAUUAAGGCUUUUGUCUUCUCUGUUGUUUCCUCCUCCGUUACACUACACCGGUUCAUCCCAGGCCUGCAUUUGAAUCAAGAGAUCAGCUUCACAACGAGACAAAGAGAAAGAAAAACUGAAACUACUAGGCACUGAUAUGUAUAACUAACAUACAUCAAUGUACCCGUCUAGGGUAUGAUUGAUUACUGUGUAAUAGAAUGAAUGUAUGAUAAAUAGUGAAGGACUAGAAAGGAACUUACAGCCAAUUGAGCAUGCUACAUAGCCACUUCUCUGGUAGGUUGUCGGGAGUGGUACCAUGUGGAAGAAGCCGCCAUUUUAGACACUUGUCACACUGCACCCAAUAGUCUUCCAUUAAUGCAGGAGCCCCUGUUGCAGGAGCUGCAUCAGAAAUGGGUCCAUUUCCUGGGCGUUGAGCUAUAUUUGAAGCUGUAACAGGAUGUGAAUCAAUUGUCUUGCUAUUUGGUUUCUCUCUUGAUGAGACAUUAACUGCAUAUGCGCUUUUUGCAACAGCAUCAGACUCCUUAAGCUUAACUUCAGAAGGCAAUUGCAAUGAAUCAAUUAGGUUCUCUUCUUCUUCAUCCCCAAAGAAAUCUCUAUAGGUAUCCCUGCUUUUAUCAGGGCCCUUUCUCAAGCUUUCUGACUCACCAUUGGAUGUAAGCUUGUUUACAUGCGUACUCUUUCCUUUGGGCAUUGAAGAAGAACCGGCCCUGGAGCUUUCUUUUGGAAAGUCUGUAACUAGAGUCCUUGGAAUUUCUUUUGAUUUCCUUUUUUCGCCAGGUAAAAGCUGCUCCUUCCCAGAAAGAAAUCUCAUAUCAUCUACCUCAUGGGCUAAACCCUUCUGACUGCCCCUUUGCUUUGACUGGUCCAUCAUUUCAGUACUUAGAGAUUUCCUCCCUUUAGAAACAUUUGAGUCUGCUUUUGCUGAUUCAUUACUUUUCUCUUUGCGAUGGCCAUUUUUCUUUGGAGGUCUCGAAACAAUAUUGCUAGAACUUACUUUUCUAUCUUCAUGAACCUUUCCAUCCAAACUGGCUUUUCGCUUUUCAACCCAGUUUUGCUCUUGGUUGGAUGUUGGCUCCAUAGGCUCAUCUUCUGCUUGACAAGGGAAGCCUUUAUCCCUUACAACAUUCUUAUCUGCUUCUUUACUCUUUGUCACAUCAUUGACAGAAGAGUAUGAAUUGGAUAGAAGUGGGAGCUUCAACGUUUUAGAAACAAGCUCUUCGCAAGCAAAUGUAUCGAUAUCUUGAUCUUUUUUCGCCAGAAGCCGAAUUCCAUCCUUAUUGUUCCCACUCUUUGAUUCUGCAGAAAGAUCAUUUCUUUCAACUGAUUUUGUUUUCCUCGCCCCAGACACUUUUCCACUACCCUCCCUGGUAUUUGCUCCAUGUACUAGGAACCCAGAUCUUUCCGAGCCAUCCCUUGGAAGAGGAAGAGAUCUGACUUCUUUUGCAAUCAUUUCCUUUUCAGUUAAAUAAAUUAAAUCUUCAGGAAGAGGUGACAAAAGCAUACCCUCAUACACCGGACAGGAUGUCAUAAUCUGCUUCAGACCGUCAUCCAAAAGAAUAUUUCAGUCAAUGCACAUUAUGUUUGAAUAAGAUAACAACUAAAUAUUUCAGGGAGAUGAUCACCUGGAGAAUACUAGUGGGAGAUUCAAAUAGGGCAUCUUGAGGGUCAUGAGAUAUUCCUUCACUAUCUGAAGAAUCAUCAAGUGAGGAAGAUGGUGUACCGUCAAGGCCAAGCCCACUAUAGAUAUCAUUUUUUCGUGUCGACAAGUUAUCCGAACCCACUUUAAGUCGUACUUUGAGAGUUUUCUGGUCUGGUAUUUUAAUAGGUUUCUUCGUUGCAGAUUCCUGUUCAGGAGGAUACAAAUCAGCUCGAUUAGAUGAUACACUCACGUCUUGUUUGACUGGAAUGUUUGCUGAUGGUGCCUUAGGCGCAACAAGUGAAAUAGAACUGGUAGAAGCAGUUCCAAGUCCCACAGACUGAGAUACAGCAUAACAACUUGCAUUGUUACGAUGGCCACCCUGUGUGGUAAAGCAAACAAAUGCGCUCAAGAACAAUUAUUCUGAAAUAAAUAUGGAAUAUAUGUAACAAAUAGAAACUAAUAUCCUCAUUAAGUUGAUACCUCGAGUUUUAGACUGUUGGGAGAUUUGGGUAAGCCAUUAUUCUGAAUUUUUGCUGGAGUCCUCGGAUGAGACCAGACUGGAGACCGCUGAUAGCUAGGUAAAAAUGAGCCAUACCCACCGAACUUUGCCCCUGUUACAGUAAAAUUAUCAAAGUUCGUUAAUAACAGAGAAGAGACUACAAUUAAGGCAUACCUUAAAAAUGAAAGAAGUUACGGCUCCACUAUUUGACUUACCUAGAUUCUCAGCAGACACCCCACCUUCAAAAUCUUUCUGGAAGUGUCCCAAAACAUCCUGAAUUUUAUCAUCCUAAUGUCAAGCAGAGCAAACACAUAGUUAAGUACAAAGCUCAUUCAAAAGACAGUAAGUAAUAACAAGGGCUAGAACAAGAUGGCAAUACUUCCAUAACAGUUCGGGUGAUAUUUACGUAUCUUUUAAUAUUUGAGAUAAUACAUUGUUCAGCUAUCUACUAUUAAUCCCUACAUCAGGAACCAGCAGUUACUCUCAAUUACAGAUACAGAAAGUAUGAUCGGACACUUUCAGUCAUAUCAUAGGUAAGUCCCAGAAACCUUGAUUUAUAACAUUCGAAUAGUGCAAUCCCACAAAAUUUGUAACUGGAUAAGAGGCACAGCACAGUCAACAGUACUCGAGUAACAUUAUUAUGCAGCAACUAAGUUUUACCAUAACCAGUCACCAGUGCAUAAAACAUUUCCAUAAACCACCUGAAACAACCAUUUCAAUACCUCCCAAUAACAAGUCAAUGAAGAAUACUUUAGCUCAUUGCAAAAUGGAUGAAUCUCAAGCUAAACACCACAAUUACCUUACAUUAACCAAUCCCCAAGUAACAAAACUCCUAAACUACAUCGUCUAUUCUCGAAUCAUAAAUCCAAUCACACGCUCCACUGCCCUCUACAGUUUUCAGAUUAACAAAAUUCAUAACCCAGAUUUCAAUCAAACACCGCAGCUGGGAUCUAACACCAGCAAUUUACAAGUCAACCCCCAUGAAUUCAUUACCAAAAUGAUUAAAUACACAUAUACAGGUCUUACGAUGUAAGCAAGAUGAACAUCAGGGUCGAUAUUCGGAUCGUAUUCAUUGAUUUGAGAAGAACAAGCCUCGCCUUCUUCAAGCUCGGAAUCGUCCAUCUCUCUCGCACCUCCUCCGAAUCCUAACCCUAGCCCCUUCCUCCCAUCCCUACCCCCCACAGAAAUCAUCCACACCCCAAAACCUACCUACCUUCUCUCAAAUCCUCCCUCAAUUGAAAACCCAAAGCUCCCUCCGAUCCAUUCGACCGGAAACUCCCACCGAUCAGUCAAAUUCAGAAAAAAAUAAAAAUAAAGACAGAAAUCGGAAGCAGAAAUAGUUUCUAAAAACCGCGAAGAAUUACGCAGGUGUUUUUAUUUUUGGACAAAAGGAAAAAAGUUGGGAGAGGAAUUUGAUGUGUUGUGUGCGCUUGAAAUUGAUUGAGCAGGAGUCCCUCCUUUUCUUUCUCUCUCUUUCUUUCUUCUUUCUCUCUGGUUUUUGGUGUUUACAGCAGGAGGCUGCUUUGGUUUUUUUUUUUUCCUUUCUGUUCAAGCAAAAUAUUAUAAUAAUUGAUUUCUGAUUGUUUAGGUGUCCAAAUAAGAUUAGGAGGAAGGAGCCGGGAUCUGACCGAGACACCGCCGUUUUGUUUCCCGUUACGGUCACGUAUUUAACUCUAUUUCUAUUUUGCCCUUUUUUUCCUUUUUUUUGUUGGAAUGGCUUUGUCCGGAAGAAUUGGAUGUAUUUAGAUGCUGCAUGGUGGGUGUUGCCACGCGCCUAGGUAAGUUUUAAAACAGUAGACCUUGUUUUAAAUGUCUAUUUAAAUUCAAAAGAAAAUAUUCAAAGAUUGUCUAUUGCAUGCGUGAUUAGUGUGUCUGCAAGAAGGUUGUUUUAUAACGGUUACGAUAUUAUGUUAUACUUUUUUUUUUUGAAAGGUGAUUUGACAUUCAAAUCAUAUCUACAUCUAACUAUCUAACGUUGAAUAUAAUAAAUAUUGUUUGACGUGAUUAACUUUAGACUUUUUUUUUAAUAUUGAAUAUGAUGGAUGAUGAUUCAAUUCAUAGUGUACAUUAAUAUUCGUCAAAUGCUCUAACUGUGCAUUUCAGUAUAGUGUGUCUAACCAUUCUUAACAUCUUCGUGAUUUAGACUCAAGUUAAAAGUUCUUCACUCGACACAAUGUAUCUUUGUUUUCAAUGAGUGUAUUUUAAUUUGCAUGUUAAAGUGUUGGCAAUUUUCUGUUACUUAUGUACAACGUAAAUGAAGUUGUUAAUAAAUUCUUAAAAACAAACACCGAACAAAGAAAAGAGUUAAGUCGUAAAUAAAGAACUAAGUUCAUGUAUAUUACCUUGUGUGAGAGCACCGGCGGAGCCAUAAAAUACACAAGGAGGGGGGGGGGGGGGGGGGGGGGUCAAUAUAGGAGAAUGUUAUAUUAAAUCUUCUAAGUUAGCUAGAUGUCAAACACAAGAUACAUAUAAAGCCAAGGUUUUAAAGGUUUUGAGAGGUGCCAUGACACCUCUUGGUCUAUGUUUAGCUCUGUUAGUGUGUGAGAAAGUUAGUAUCGUUGUUGGUAAAAAAACCCCCGCAUAAUAGGAUUUAGUAUGGAUGCACAUAUUAUUAUUAUAGUGUCAUUUAUAAUAAAUGUUAAACUCUAUAGAUGUGGUAAGACCGUACUUUAUCUAAGGUAGUUAAACUGAAUCAUAAAAUAAGAAUAAGAUAUAUAAAAGAAUAAAAUGAAUAUUAUUAUCAUGUACUAUGACCAUUUGAUCCCAAUCAUAAAAUGAAGUAUAAUUAUUUUAUAAAUAUCAUGUGUAAGCUUAUUACAAGCAGAAUAUUACAAACAGUCAAACAGAUGAAUGCAUCAUCAGUUCAAUACCAUUGGUUUGAUUCAAUUGUUUGGGAUAAUGGUAACUACUAAUAACCUCUCGGAAUAAGUAAAUUUUUUGGAGAGAUAAUUGGGUUAAUAUUUCCCGUCCUGGUAUAUCCGCGGCAGUGUGGUUCAGGACUCCUGGAAAGCGAGUGGGGGCAUACAGUCUUUGUGAAGCCACUUGUCAGUUGGCCAAUCCGACAUGUUCUUUAGUUAUACCUGGUCCACCUGGAUACAUGUGUUUCAUUUUCUCCACGAUAUAUUUACUUAUGAGAAAUUUUAAAUACACACAUUUAAUCUCUUAAUAUACAUUUUUAUUAUUUUAUAUUUUUAUUGAGAUUUUAUAAGUAAAUUAAAUGACCAAAACAGACAUCUAUUAUUUUUUUUUAUAAAAACUCUAUAAAUAUUCUUUUAAACGUUUUCUACCCUAAAAUCGUCGAAAGCAUGUCUUCUCUCCUAACCUCAACUCUUCUCCACAAUUCAUUUGGGUUGUCUUUUGUUUUUUUGUUUUUGUAUAUGUAUAAGCUUUAGUUUGAUCUUGCAUAUCAUAUUGUCGAGUACUGCAUCUUUAUCAUGACAUGUUUUAUCGAAUAACUAGUUAUCUAUGUUUAAUAGCGAUUGUACUUCUACAGCUCUACUAGCUUGUGAAUUUUGAAAACUUGUAUUGGUGAUUUGGAGUUGGGAUAUAACAAUAAUCAUUUGAUUAUAAAUUAAACGAUGAUAACCAAAAAUUUCUAACAAAAUUAGAUGAAAUAAUAUGUCAAAAGAGGUACCAAAUAAUAAAUAUACAUUAAUUAUAUUAAAUAAUGAAAUAUUUCAUAAUUAAGGGCAUUUUAGACAGUUUGAGAUGUGUAUUAAGUAUAAUAUUAAAAUGAAAAACUUGAUAGGUGGUGUAUUAAAUAAAUGGUGUGUAUUAAGAUAUUAGGGGUGUGUACUUAUUUAGAAGGCAACAAAAAAGAAGAAAAAAUUAUGGGGAAAGAAAAGGUGAAAUUAAUUGGUUAGGAUCAUCUGAUUAUCUAAUAAUAGUAAAGAUUAUGAGAGAUUUGUUCCCAAAAUCGUGAUUUGCUUAUGUUUAACUAUUUGACGAAUCAAGAACCGUAUUUAAUUGUAUUUAUAUAUGUACUUUGAGCUGUUAGUUUUUUUGAAAAUUCGAUUUUUUUAUUAUUAUUUUUUAUAUAUUAAUCGUACUGUAUGAGAGACCUUUAGAAAUAAUAAAAUACGAAUGACUCUAGCAAUAUAUAUCUCAUAUAACUUAUAAGCUUAGUUAUAAAAGCUUUAUUCAUUUUAUUCGGAAUAGAGAUUUGAGAAUGAGACAUGUGACUUUUCUAAUUUUAGUAAUGGGUCCAAUUCACGUAAUCAACCAUCUCAAGCUUGGUUACGCUCAACUAUCCUUGAAUUUAGAUUCACCGGUAAACCAAUUAAGAAAAUAUGUAAAUUUUAACUACUUUAUCUGUGAAAAUGACUUUCUAAUGCAAUAUAAUAUAAAUAUAAAUAAUAGAGGUAAAGUAUUUACUACUGAAAACAUUUACCGACUGUAAAUAUUAUGAGGGUAAAUCGCCCACCGUUUGGGCACAAACAAAGACAAAAGAGGGACUCGUGUUUGUUGUAGGGAACAAAAGUCAGAGGUUGACCCACGUGCGUAAUUAAUAUUAUGACGUGUCUGAAACCUUCUGUACUGUUUUUUUAUUUUACCCAAACAAGUCUUAACGAUAUUAGUGUGCAGUCAGUAUCUUUGUUAAUUUCUUCCCUUUUUUACUGGGCAAAGAAGAGGGCCUGAAUCUGAAUCAUUUAUCUUUACUACCCAAGAUGGAUAAAAGUAGUAAAUGAGAUUCAUGGUACAAUGCCAUGAAGGUGGAGCUAGAGCAGGUGUUUAAUUAAUGUAAAAUGAAUACAUGCAUGCAUUUGGUUUUGUUGUGAUGGUUUACAAGAUAUGAAGAUAUAAUUUCAUAAACAGAAAAACACUCAUGAAUCAUAAAGGUAAGUAAUAUUGUGAUCAACAUGAUAAAAAGUUUCAAUAAACUCCGUCAACUAUAAUAAUCCUCUGAGUAGGUGGAACAUACAUUAAUAUUAUUUAGAUCGAAUAUCUCACCCACAUUACAGGGUUGUAUAAACAAAAAAUGUUGUGUUUAACUUACUAAUAUAUGAAUAAACUAAAUUUCUAAAAGAGUAAUGAAAAAAUAAGGACCACUCAAUUGUAAAAGAGUGAGAAAAAGAAAGACAUUGCAUAUGACUUGAUUCUUCCUCCAUAUCUUAAGGAUUAGAUUUACAAAAAUUUAAUUGAUCCUUCAAAAAACCUAAUCUUUUUUCAAGAUUAUGUAAAUAUUGAAAAGUAAAGUCAAGUUUGGUAUUGAGUUUUGGGACAUAAAAUCAUUUAUAAUCACAAUUUUGAAUAUAUUUCACAUUUUGUAAAAUUUUAUGAGGUGCUUAUUUAAAUUUUUUUAGGCUAAAUAACCAUGAUUUUAAAAAGCAUGUUAGAGGUUGUUUUUUUUAAAUUAAGUUUGUUUUUAUUUAAAUUUUUUUUUAAAUUGAGUCUUCACAACAAUAUCAAACUAAGAGUAAGUAACAUAAAAUCUCUUGAUAUAGCUGUGAGCCUUCAAGACACUCCGUUAAAUACUUCAAUUCUUAUUUAAUAUAUAUAUAUAUAUAUACACGUUGUUAGUUUUUCAUAUAGUCUUAACCAGACAUGCAAAGAUUUUAUAGACCCAGAAUCUAGUUCCUUGACGCAUGUAAAAUGCACCAAUUAUGCAGUGCAACACAAUGUCUGGCCGCUUUUCUAACUUCGGGAAUCGAGCUUAAGUUGAGAGCACACUCAACUAGACAAAAAUCAUUAGACCACUUGCGGUGGUUAUACCGUAUAUAUUUGUCAGCUAAGCCUGGGUAGCUAAUUAAAAAAAUAUGGCUAAUUAAUGGUCCUUUUUUGAAAUCAAAACGGAGACCAUCAAUUAUUUACUUAACAAUCUAACAACAUAGUAAAAUAGUAUGACAUUAACGAUCGAUUAAAUUAACACGCAUGUACUAGUUCCGCUCCGUCAAGUAAUUGAAGGAAACUAAACCUGUACACUGAAUAACAUCAUGUGUGUUAAAUGAACGAAAUUAUUGCUACUACACUUUGAACUCAAACUCACACACAUAACACUCACAAAAAGAUUCACUCCCAAAACAGAAAAAAGCAGCGAGAAGAAGAAUGUGAAUCAUGAGAAACACGAGGUACGUCAAGUAGCCAUCAUCACGAGCAGCGUCUGGCGCCGUCUGCUCAUUCCGUACUAGAGAAUUCAAGGCAUCCAAUAUGUGUGGACUUGUUUCAUCCAUCCAAACAAUAUUAACCCCAAAAAAGCUCCAAGAGAUUAAGGACAUCCAGGUUCAUUGUGAGCACCCAGGUCACCAAUUAUUAUUCUAAUUCCUGUUUUUAUUCAUGGGUUUAAUAGUUGGAAUUAGAUAUUUGUAUUAUUAAGUGCCGUCAUGCAUUGUUUCUGGUAAUUAAUCAAUAAUAUUGGGGACCUACUAGCUUUGUCCCUCCAAGUUAUGACCAGAAUAUGCUCAGGUUUGUGCUGUAUUAUCUUGGCAUAUCUGUUCAUACUUUUACGGUUUACAAUACAGAUCAGCGAAAUGUAAAACCUAGGUACCCUUUUACUAAAUCCGAUCCAUGGUGAAAAAUGACAUCUUCUUAAAUAGUUUCGUUUUAACAAUGUUCUUUUUUUUUAUUAACGUAAAAGGCUUUUUAGACCCAAUGUCAAGAUUCAAGCCUAGAUUGAGAGUUACACCCAACUAAACGAGUACCACUAUACCACUCACAAUGGUUUCUUGUUAAAUAGUUAUUAUCACAGUUACACACCCAACAUUUGAUCCAGUUACUAGGGUAAGUAAAAAAGUGAAACGAAACAGUCAGCCAGAUGAUAUGAAUUGAAUUGUAACGAAAAUGUUAAAAGCCAUUACGAUAGUGAACGUGUUGUAUGUACGGAAGUCAUAUGAGAAUACGGUUAGGAUUCAACGAGAUUAGGAUUCCUAGUCCAAUCGAAUAAAAAAUGAGGAAUUUGAUUCUAAGAAUGACUCCUGCUGCAUCUUUGGACGAAUAAUGGUACAAGUGAAUGGGAUCGGAAGGACAAGUCUUUCUAUCUAUUUGUUCUAUUAAUUCUCAAAUUAUUAUGAUUAUUACUAUCUAUUUUUCUCUUAGUGGUACAUCCUACUAUGAAAAAGCUUCAUCAACAGACAACAGUUAAGCGAGUAUAAGAAGUGAUCUGUAAUUUGACCUCCUUAAUUGAGGAGAAAUCAUUUGGAAGAACCUUCAAACUGAUCUCGCAGCAGCUCAUACUUCCUAAGCUCGGCUGUGGAGAGUGAGGGCGAUAGCUCCUUUAAGACCUAAGAUUAUCGGGGACAAAGGCAGUCAGUAGAUGCACCAGAAACUGGAUUUAGAACAAUUCUUAUUUGUCUUGUAAAAGCACAACAGUACUUGUGAUUAACUCAGACACUUAAACACAGUUCAGAAAAAGACCGUCGUACCUUGACAAAAUCAUCAUAUUCAACAAUAACAGAGUCAGGUUGGUCAUCUAUGGAAGAGGAAUCUGAAUCUGAACUCAAAACCUGCAUGAAUGGCAAGAAGCACGUCAGAACAUCCCUUUAUCUAGUGAGUAUUAUAUGAUAAAAGCGUAAAGCUUAUGAACAUUGUAUCUUUAUAUAAUCCAGAAUAUUGUUGAGAAUGCAGGAGCAUCUAGUAUUCUGACUUUCUGAGUGUUGCAUCUUGAUUUGUACAAUCAUGGGUCUCUCCAGUACUGUAUAAUUGAUUGUCUACGACUCCAAUAUUAACAGAACUGUAUCAGUCUCUUUGCUUUACUAACCAGUUAAGCUCCACUCACCAAUGCAUUUCCUAUUUCAUAACUAUAAUUGAACACACCUCAAAAUCAAUCCACGUCCUUUAUCAAAUAUGAACUACCCCUCUACACCCUGAAUAUAUUGGACAGCUUACACCAAUACUUUUGGUUCAAUCAAAACCAACCAUAAGCUCUGGUGUUGACUAGACUCACCUUACGCUUAGCUGCACUAAACCAAGCAUCCGCACACAAGGCAUACAUGUCUGCACCAGUGAAGGUUGGUGGACAUUUCUUCGCUAUUGAAUAAAGUGAAACAUCUUCAUGUAACUUAAACUUUCGGGUAAGAGCUUUGAGAACCCUAUAUAAAAAAGGAAAGAAAAAGAAUCAUCAUACUGACAACAAAAUUAUUCAAUGAUGAACUUACGUAAAAACCAACCGUUCUCUGUAAGAUGGAUCAGACACAACUCCAACAUAAAGCAACUUAUCAAACCGGCCAGGCCGUAGAAGUGCUGGGUCAAUUAGAUCUGGUCUGUUACUUGCUCCAAUUAUAAACAAGUCCUACAUUAAACCAAACAAGGCUUUUCUGUCUUAGUUGAGGAUAGCAAAAUACCCUGUGAGAUAUUGGAAAAAAGAAAAAGAAAAAUAACAAGCAAGAGACAGAGCAAACACCUGAGUUGAAUCAUUUAGGCCAUCAAUCUCUGCAAGCAUCUAGUGGAACAGAAAGUCACAGUCAGUAUCAAGGAAUAAAUGCAAAUUUUCCCAGUCAUAAAGAAGGAUGCUUCACCUGAGAAACCACUCUGUCCAUGACACCCCCAGAAUCCCCAGAUGCACCUCGGGCUGGAGCAAGGGAAUCAAGUUCAUCAAAAAAUAUAACACAUGGGCGUGCUGAUCUAGCCUGCAAAGCAUGUGCAAUACUGCUCUAGUGUGAGCCAAAAUAGAUGUUCUGAAAUUCAAGUAGAUAAACAACAAUAAACUUCUUCCAAAAGGCUAAUGAUCAAGCUGGAAUGUUUUACCUUCUGGAAAAUGUCUCUGAUAUUCUUUUCUGACUCUCCUAUGUACAUAUUAAUGAGUUCAGGUCCUUUUACACUGAGAAAAUUUAGGGAGCACUCAGUUGCAACAGCUUUUGCCAGCAGAGUCUGAGGGUUGAAGUCAGAAAAACAAAUGAGUUUAACAAAUCUCUUGGGGUAAAUGAGAGGGAAAAUAGAGAAAACCUUAGAGGAGUAACUGUAACUUACUUUCCCUGUUCCCGGUGGACCAUACAGUAGAACACCAGAACGCUUUCGUAAGCCAGAUGAAAACAAGUCCUUGUGCAGAAGAGGUAACUAGAACAAACAACAAAGAAGAAUUGAGUUGAUAAAGCGUUCCAAAUUCCAAAUUGCUGGAAUCUUCCUGGUGGACAACAGGUAAAAAGUGUAGAUACAACAGACCUACCUGUACAGUAUCCAGGAUUGAUUUCUUCACAUCCUCAAGACCACCAACAUCUUCCCAUUUGACGUUAGGAACCUAUAGAGAAUAUGAUUUAAAUUGCAUUAGAUGUCCUAUAAGUAUACUACUUCCACGUUUGUUGCAAUAUAAAACUCAUUUUUUAGCCCCACAGAAGAGGACACACUUAGACAUCACCCAAUACAGAGAGCUUGAUAGGAAAGGACAAUAUAUCAUUCCUCGAAAUUAGUCUUGUCUCUCAAUUACCUUUGGAGUACCAAGGGCUGAUGCAUUCCUUUUCUUUGAUCUGUCCAAUGCUUUUGUCAAGCUUUCUUUUCCCAGAAUCGGAGAUGUGACUUCACAGGACUUACUGUCUGAUUCGACAUAAUCUUUGAGAGAAGCAUCUGAUUCUUCAGACUUCACUGUGUCAAUCUGAGCAUUGCCUUUUGGAAUCAAGUUUGCACCAGCAUCAGCAACCAAUGCACAGAUAUCUCUGGGCAUGAAACCAGAUGUCUGUGCAACUAUAUCCUUUAUAAGAUCCUCCGAAUCAGUCUGCAAAAAAACAAUUCUGAUCCUUUUAAGUCACGAGAUGAUCAAAAGAAACUACAAUUAAUACCAUGUAGAAUACAAAGGCGUACAGAACUUGUUUAUGGACUUCAAGAUUCACAUUCAGUUAAAAUCUGAAAAGUGACAGAUGGAGAGUUUACCAUUUGACAACACUGCAUUAGGCAUUACAUAUAAUUAUAUAAAAAAUUGCUACCCGAAGACAUAUUUAAGCGAUGUCAAUACUUGGUGCGACCAUGAUAAUUUUUUAACCACACCAUAGGAAUGCGGCAAACCAUCAAAUUGGGGGGGGGGGGGGGGAACGGUGGUGGAUAUAACACUUGUUUUGGUCAUACCCAACCAUCGAAAGCCAGAGGAAAAAAAGUAUUUAAGCAUCAGAAUCACGGUAUCAUCAAGGGAGAUCUUGACUGAAAAUUAUUAUACCCAAUCAAUAUAGAUGCUGAGCCCCAGUGCUUGACAGGAGCUCAGAUGAGAACAGGUGUCAGAUAAAAAACAAUUCUUGGCCCACCAGGUAGCAGCUUAGGCUUUUGAAAUCAAUAGCAAACCAACAAAACGUAUGCAUCAUAAUCAUAUUUAUAAUAGACUGCACACAUAAAAGGUUAGGAUUUUCCAACAAAACUUAUGCAUGAUAUACUUCUAAUAGAAAACACAUAUAAAAGGUAAAGAGAAACCAAACAUAUUUUUUACAUACAUUAGAAAGGAAUUCGGAAGCCUUCUGCAAAGACUCUGAGACCAUUUUAACCCUUUGUUCUUCAGUCAAUGGACCCAUACUUAUUUCAUGGCUAAAGCAACGUCUAAUAGUUGGCGGUAGACCUUCUGAACUGUCAGCAGCUGCAAUUAACAGCACUUGAUGCCUACCUACUUUCCCAGAAUCCUGCAUGCAGUGUAGUAUUAUUAGGUUGGUCAGAUUAGAAAACAAAAAACAACAUAGCAAUCAACAAAAGAGGAGAAGUCACACAUGAAAAAUGAGUGAGGACUAGAAUUUACAUCAACUAAUGAUCAUUUCUCAGAACCGAAAUUAAUUAAUCAUACAUAAGAAUAACCCAAGACACAAAAUAUGGCACUAAAGCCAUGUACUUACAGUAUGACCAUUUUGUUUUUGUUCCAUAUCUCCAGAAUCAAAAAUUGGCUCAGUGAAUUCCCUUAUAAGUGAUGCAACUUCAGAAGUGAUGCCAACUUGAUCAUUUGGUGAACCUUCUUGCAAAUUCCGGAAAACAUCAAAAUGGCGGAGAAGAAGUAUAGUUGGCGAGUAUCUGAAAGAACAUUGCAUAAGAACGAACUGGAACAACCAUUGAAAGUAGGAAACUUAGGUGCAACAAAAUUGAAGGAUAUGGCAGAGAAAGUUCUCCCAUCAAAUGAUAUAAUGGAGAAGGAUAAAAUAAGGAUAGAGUAGUAUGACUGUUUUCUCAUAUAUCAUCGAAGAAAAGUUGUAUAGCUAAUUAGUGAAACAAUAGGUAACAAUAACUGCUGCUGUCAAGCAUAUAUCAUAAAAAUGCAGUAGUAACAGAGGAAAUUUGGGACCUCUAGCAUGUAUCAUACUCAAAAAAUGCAUUGCUUUACCUUUGAGCAGCAUUCAAGGUUUGGGCUAGUGCAACAGAAAUCUUUUUUUCAGAUGACGUCGUCAGAUUAUGACAGCUAUAUUCAACUACAUGCAGGCCCAAUCGACGAGCAACAUAUCUAAUAACCGUUCUCUUCCCACAUCCUGCACCAAGCAUCAAAUAACUACUCAAUGACACUAAACUCAUGUGCGCAUGAAACAUACAACUUAGGCAACUCAUCCAGGGUAAUCAUUCUUUUCCAUAAGUGGUAAUAGGUUAAAGAACUAUAUUACAUAUUGAAUGCUUAAUCCCAAGGGAUCUUGUUAGAGAGUAGAGACCUUGCGAAAUUAAAUAUAAAUGCAACCAUCAAGUGUUCAUGACAAAAAGGAAAGCUUCAAUAUACCUGCCAAUCCAUACAAUAGGACAGAAACUCUGAAUUUUGAGGAUAGUGCUGAGGGGCACAGAAGCGGAGUAAGUAUGGAGGCCAACAUUUUCACUGUGUCCCCUUGCAAAGGUACAAAACCUUUUUGUCCAGCAAUCAAUAAAUCAGGGGGCACAGCAGAAGAGACGCUUCCUCCAAGCACAAGGGCAGUUUGAGAACGGUUAACUCGGAGAAUUGGUUUGUCCAAAGGUUCCAUAGCCACAACCUAAGACAACAAAUGACACGGUGAUUGUCAUUAUCACAUUUGUUGACUAGAAAUUGCAACUGAUGAAAAGCACUGAGAAUUCACCUUGAAAUAGAUAGUGUUAUCAACCCCAUUUUCCAAACUUUGGUCGCAAGGAACGCAAACCAUUGACUUGCAAUUCCACUUUAUACAAACACUGAAAACAUCACCUCUUGCUAGAUACCUAUCAACCUCAAAGUAGCUAUGCAGUGCCGAAUCUAUCAUUUCUUGACGAUCUUCAUGUUCAACAGCCGAAUUCCCUCUAAGAGAGUCAAGACUACCACAUUCCGGUACCUUCACAAACGAAGCCCUCAAGUGCGAAGCAUAUCUCGGCAACUCCAAAUGCGGCUGUAUCCCAAUCACAGAACCCCCAAUCCCUUUCCCACUCGCCUCAUCAUCCACCCCAUCCCCAAAAUAAGACGCCAACGCCGCUUCCCCUCUGUGAACAAGCGAUUUCAAGCACAAUGUAUGCAAGUCAAUGUUAAACGCCAACAUAGGCGACAUAUACGCAACUUCCUGAUCUAACAACAUGUGGCCAUUUCCAGGCAAAGUGCAACAAGGCAGAACAAGCAUUGCGUGGGAAGACUGGCCAGCAGAUAGUUCAGUGUUCUCGGAGCGGUCCGGUGGAUCCACAACAAUGACCUGAGCAAUUCUUUGUAUGUUUGUCUCCAUAUUCUUCACAAGCACCUUGUUUAUACAAAUCAAAAUCAAAGGAAAAAAAAAAACACUAAAGCAUCAAUUACUUGCUGUGCAGAAUUUUCCACAUGAAAUUAACGCUAAAAUUGAAGUAAUUAAAGAAAUUACAGCUCCUCCUACAAUUGAAAUCCGAAGAAUUAAAGAGUAAAUUUAGCAGAGAGAAAAGAGUAGAUGGAUUUGGAUACCAGGGAGCCGGAGGUGAUGUAGAGGCGUUUGAGGAGAGAAGUGGAGAGGCCGACGAGAGCAGAGUCGUCGAGAGAAGCCGAUUUGGGGCUCCGGUCGACGUAGAAUCGGAGAAUUCCCGGCGGAAGCAGCUGGAAGCUGGUGGUGACGUCAUCGGAGGCGGAGAGUGGGUGAUCGUCGCCGGAGGUGAGGCCUCCCGGCGGGGAAGAGAGUAGGGAUUUGAUGAGAGUUUUAGUGGAAGUGAGUACUAGUGGCUUCCUCCUCCCCACCAUUGGAAACUAGUGAGCUCUCUCUCUCUCUCUCUCUCUUUGGGGAACAAGUUCAAAUUUAGUUGCAUAGUAGUAUUUAUAUGAAGGUAGAGAGAGAGAGGUGGGUUGGAUUAGAGUGAGGAGCGCAUUUCGAUAGAAAGUAAAAAGGGACAAAAAAGUUAAAAAUGGAGAUGCGGGGUAUCGAUCCCCGUACCUCUCGCAUGCUAAGCGAGCGCUCUACCAUCUGAGCUACAUCCCCAACUUGACAGCUCCGGGAUUAUGCGGAUUAUUAACCUUCAUAAAGAAAAGAAAUGUGAAUUAUGAGUGAUAAAAUAUUGUGUGGCAAAAGUUUUAGUGUUUCAAAGUAAUGAAAUUCUAGAGUCCAAUAAAGAAUGUUGUUUUACGAUUGUAAGAAUUCAGUUGUACCAACUUUUCUUUCAUAUAGAAAGAGGUAGCGGAAGCUUUGUGAUUACAAAACAACUCUUAACAUGGUAUAAGGAAAGGUUGUUGUGUUGGAAGACGGACAACCUUAGCUUCUAUGCGUGCCUGAUUUGGAGGAAAGAAUCUUGCAAGAUAUGGAUAUAGACUUGUGCAAUCUCUAUGAAUGUAGACCCAUCAAUAAACCAGGUAGCACAAACAGCUCUUCAACUAAGCUCAAGUCCUCAUCUCCAUAGCUACCUACUCAUCCAUACAAGGCAGCUUGUGCAAUCAAGUCCAAUGACCUUUUUCAAUGACUAUACAAAACUGUUUGCCUGUCUCUCUCUCUCUCCCUAAUAUGUCUUCAAUCUGAUAGAAACAACCAGCUGGGAGAAACAAAAUGAACAAAGUUUCAAUUCCACAUAGAAGAUUGAUCAAUGAUGGAGCUUUUCACAAUAUAUUUAUUGACAGAUCCACAAAACCAACAGUGUUGAACUGUUGAUUAAGUUGCACAACUGCAGAUUUAUGCAUCAGAGCCUUAAAUAGUUAAAGCAUGUGAUCGGGUGCAUGUAGGUGCCCUUAUAAUUACUUCUGCAAUUUUCAAGCCGGCCUGUUGGCUUAACAGGCCUAUCAAAGCAGCAAGGAAAGUGUGCAUAUGAUGUGCGCUCUGAUCCUCCAGUUCUCUCCGAAGCAGGCUGCUGCUGCAUGUUUAGUUUGCUCUUCAACCAACCUCAACCCAGUAGCCAGCAAUAUAGAGUUGCUACUGCAUUAAAUCUACUAAUGACUGUUUCUAAUGAAACUAGAGAAGAAACAUGUAAAUAUCUCUUACAUUAAUGUUAUCUACUAGGUUCAGUAUCAGCUAAGCUAAUUUUUCAUUCCUCCAAUGCAAACUGAUUUCGUUUACCUUCAUCUUCUUCGACCAUUAUAGAGUAACCCUAAAGCUCUGGAAUCAAGAUCAAAGGAUGAUCCAUAGCACCACACCAGGGUUGUUGGUUCUUAAACCAGUUUAAGUAGAUAACUGGAUAGAGACGAACCGAGUCUCUAAUGAAACCAAUAAGAGAAUGAUAACUGCAGCAACUAUAGUUUAGCUUUUCACAUUUUUGACAAACCAUAAAACCAGUAAGAGCCACAACAGAGCACAUUCCAUUGCUGCCGAUCAAAUACCUAAUUGUUAAUGCCAAUUUGAUGUAACAGGACAUGAUAAAUAAGACAGUGAUUCCCUUAAAGGAACAGCUAUUUUGUAGACACUAGUUGACAAACCUCUUUCAAAUCACCACUAGGCUUCUUCACAAACUUUCUUGCAGCACCUCCAGAUUCAAAGCUACCCCCCCAGAAAUGUUGCAGCGUCACCAAGAUCAUACAUCCUGCACAUAUACUUUGCCUUGGUAUACAUCCAACAAUUGAGGUACUUGGUCGAGAUAUCUGGUGACAAACCUACUAAAGAAGCACUCCUCUGAAGGCACAAACACAUAAGACAAACUCAACUUCUUCUCUUCUAUCAGUCCUUUCAACAACAAAACUCUAACAACCGAACACCGAGGGAUGAUUCUCUUCUCCAAGCUGUACACAAAAACAUACGGAACCUCCGCAAUUUUUCCUGAUUCCCAUCCCAUCUUGUUCACUAAGAAAUCCAUUGUCACCAUUAUUUUCUUCUCAGACACCAUCAUACACAGUGGAUGCCUCUUGAAGGCAGAAAGAAUAUCAUUAUCCGACCAACCCCACCUCCUAUAAGCCUCUUCCUUAUGUCUCCAUGUUGUUUUCUUCCAGGAUAAUACGACCAUGGCUUGCACAAAGUUCACAUUUCCCGGGUCAAAUCCCAUUUCUGCGACUUGGCGGACUAAUUGACUGAAGAAUUCAGGCUUUCUCGUCACAGUCUUACUAAAACAUGCUACCAACCGCGCAAGAGCCGAGUGGGGCAUGCCCAACUCUGUAACAAGUCUAAUAUUGGGUUUAACAUUCUUGGAUAGAUUUUCCAAGAAAAUGGAUGAGUUCUGUUUUAGAGUACGAACGACCUUGACAUCAGAGAUCACCACGCUUUUGAGGAAGUUAUAACAGGGUAUAAGACUGUUUUCCAAGCUUCGCGUCAAUAGAUUUGGGUUGUAAGUCAUUAUUUUUGCAAGGUCGAGCCUUGACAUCCCUAUGGAGCAGAAAAACUCAAGCUUUGGCAAAAGGGUCUUCUUCGCAUUGGCUAAGAUAAGUUGCGGGCGUCUCCGCACAAGAGUUGAGAUCUGGGUAUCUGAGAAUUCAUACUCUCUCAAAAGGGCUAGAACGGAGUUUGGUUGCUCUAAAGAUCGAAGCUGUACCUUGUGGGCUGCUAGAGUAGCGGCUUUUGGGGACAACCCACAUGAGCGAAUGAGGUAAGAGAGUGUAGGAUUGUCUUGGGCUGCUGGGAUUAUCGAGCUGCUGAUGAACCUUCGACCAAAAUGAGAAGCAGCUACUGCAAAUGCUUGAUUUCUGUACAGAAGACUUGAAAACAUUGGGUGUGCGGAUCCGAGGCUCUUGCCGAAAAUGUAGAAGAGUGCCAUGCUCCACUCAUUACUUCAUUAGAGAGAAUUGGAGUAUUGGAGAUGGCCAAUUUUGGGUUCCCAAUUCAAAACGCACUAGGGUUUUGGUUCUCCCAAAUGAACCUCAUCUACUGUCGUCUUUUGCUUUUCCCACUUACUCUUGAAAUGUUGAGAGAGUGAAUAUAAUCUAUAAAUAUAUAGAGGGACUAAUUUAGCCCUCAAAGUUUUACAGAUGUAAAUAACGAGGUGGCAUACUUUCAGUCGAGAUCACAAAUUUAUAUAAUGCCGUUUUGAUUUUUUCAAAACAUAAGACACCUAAAUUACGAGUAGGUCAUUUAUCGUGUACAAUUGUUAAAAAAUUUCCGCACAAAUAAUGUAUUGUUGAUCUCAGCUGCGACAUCAAGUGAGGGGUGAGAUGAAGCUACUCUGCUCACUUUUGACAUCUGCUCACUGAUCUACUCUGCAUCACUGAUCUGCAUAUAGGAUUUAGUAAAGUUAAUAUGAACAUUCUAGUUUUCUAAUUCUGGAUAUAGCUCAUGAUGUUAUGAUCAUUUUUGUGCUUAGUCUAAAACUUGUCAUUUCGAUAAUGUUUGAUACUAGGGAGUAUUAUAAAGCCGAAAAAGGAAAAAAGAGACCAGGGGUAGCUCAGGAAUUCGAGGAAAGUUGAUCAACUAUAUAAAUGAAACAUUAUUUACAGAAGAUUUCCACUUCCAGCUACAUUCCUCCUGAUUGUGCAUUCAAAUUGAAGUAGAUGAAUAAAUCGAUCUAGAGAGUGUGAUUAGUGAGCCACAGAGAGGCAGAAACUAUAAACUAAUGAGUUUCAAUUGAGUUUUUCACAAUAUUGACAGACCUCAAAAACUAAGCAGUGAUAACAUAGAUGACAUUCAAUUUCUGCGCAUCAAAUAUCUCAUUGUUCAUAACGAAUUCAGGUAACAAGACUCAGACCGAUUACAAACAGUUGGUGUUCUCGUAAUCAAAACAAGUAAAAUCAAGGCUGAGGGAACACAUGAGAAACCUGUUUCUGUUCUCGUAAUCAAACAAGUAAAAUCAAGGGUGAGGGAACAUAUGAGAAACCUGUUUCUUAUCCAGACUUGGGAGGCUAAUUCAGUUUUCUCUGGUAAUGCCUCUGAGAUGUGACACUAUCAGCCUAGCAACUAUGUUACCUUGUCCACUUCCAGUUUGCCAUGGUACACAUUCAACAAUUCGGGUACACUGUCGAGAAAUCUGGUAACAAAGUUACUCAAGAAGUACUUGUCUGGCACCCUUAUAACAGUAGCCAAACUCAAGUUGUCCUCCUUGAUCAAUCCUUUCAGAAGCAAAACUUUAACAACCGAACACCUUGGUAUGAUUCUCUUCUCCAAGCUGUAGCAUAAAACAUGGGGAUAUUUUGCAAUCUUGUGGGAAUGCCAACCCAUCUUGUUCACUAAGAAAUCCAUUGUUUCCAUUAUUUUCUUCUCAGACUUGGUCAUGCAUGGUGGAAACAACUUAAAAGGCAGAAAGAAUAUCAUUAUCAGACCAAUCCCAACUCCUAUAAGCCUGUUGACAUCGUUUCCAUGUCGUCCCUUUUAAAGAUAAUGCCUGCAUAGCUUGCACAAAGCUUGACUUGUGAGGGUCAAAUCCCAAUUGUUGGACUUCACCCACAAGUUGACUGUACAAAUCAGGCUUCCUCAUCACACUAUGAGCAUAAUAUGUUAGCAACAAAGCAAUACAUGAUUCCGACAUGCCCAAUUCUCUCAGAAUCUGAGUAUUGGGUAUCACAUUCUUGGAGAGAUUUGCUCUGAAAAUCCAUGAGCUCUGCUUCCAAAUAUUGACGACCUUGACAUCAGAGACCACCACGCUUUUGAGGAAGUUAUAACAGGGUACAAUAAAGUUUUCCAAGCUUCGGUCAAAGAGCAUCGAGUUGUAGGUCGGUGUUUUUGCGAGGUCGAGCCUUGAGAUUCCUAUGGAGCAGAAAAACUCAAAGCUUUGGCAAAAGGGUUUUCUGGGUAUCGGUCAUCAGAAUACGUGGGUGUUUCCGCACCAGAGUUGAGAUUUGGGUAUCUGAGAAUUCAUACUGUCUCAAAAGGGCUAAAACAGAGUCUGGUUUCUCUAAAGAUUGAAGCUUUACCUUGUGAGAUGCUUUAAUGGCGGCUUCUGGGGAGAGAGACCACAAGAGUUGACCAGGUAAGAGACCGUGAAAUCGUCGGUCAGUGUUGUUGUACAAAACCACUGACUUUGAAGUCCUUCGAACGGGAUGCGAUAUCUGCAAAACAGACGUGAAAAUGGGUAUGACAGGGUCUUGCUGCAAAUGUAGUCGUGUGCCAUUGGAAUUUGCAACACCGAUUAGAGGGAUGGGAGGAGUCCCAAUUUCACUGCACUCUAGGCAUUUUAUUUUUUAUUUUUAAACAGAGAUGGAAAGGUUUUAAUUUUUUUUUUCACUGUUGAGAAAACAUUGAGCUUUUUAAUUUGUAUGAUACCUGAACUAUGGAACUAAUGUCUAUUGCAUUAUGGUUAUAGUUCAGGUACCAUAUAUGAGGAUUUUUCCUACAAACAUUGAGCUUUUCACAUAAUUGACCACAAAACCAAUGAGCUUUUCACAGUUUUGGUAUAGAAUGAGAGAAAUUCAUACAUCAGCUAUAUCACAUCCAACAAUUGAGGUACUUGGCCUGAGAUAUCUGUUCACAAAACCUAUCCGAAAAGUACUUCUCCUAGACAAUAUGGGAGAAUUGCACAGAACUGGCUUUCAAAAUCCUAGAGUUUAGCAUAUUAUAAACAGCAGAACCCCAAAUUUCUAAUCCGUUCUCCUGUACUUCUAGCUCCAGCACUCGGAUCAUGAACAUGUUCCAGUUUUCCUUGUCCAGGUCAAGGUCGUCACCAGCAUAUCCUUGUAUGAUUCAACUUCACCAAUAACUAUGUCAGUAGACAAUUUUCAUGAGCAAGUUACACAUAAGUAUUACAUGCCUUUGAAGUAGACGAAUGCCCAAAUGCUCAACACACUCUAUGACCAAACAAGGGUCAUUCCUUUGGGGUGCGUUUUGUAGCUCAUGCAUCUUAUGUACAAUGAAAGCAAGAUGUUGGUGCUAACUGUUUACGUAGUACACUCCUGAAUCGCAUGAUCAACCUAUGUCUUCCAGUUCUGGUCAGCCUUGCCUUCGACGUGGAAGCUUUCCUUCUCAACUGAACUGAACUACUCAACUCAUGUAAAUCUGAUCCUGAUGGGUGCUGUGUUGAAUUGAAUGUAAACCCUAAACCAAAUUCAAUAAUUCAAUAUUCACUUCAUGUGUGUAUAUAUGUUGCACUGUAAUCAUUAUUUUCAAUGAUUAUGAUAAAAAUGGGUUGGAAAUUGAUGCUUUAGUUUCUUCUUCCCUGUCUUCUAUAGACCAUUUGCAUGCCUUAUUCUUUUAUAUUUGAUAUUGGUAAAUAAAACAUGUCUUGUCUAACAGUGUUUUAGAUACCACUCGCGUGUUGCUGCGGGGUAGGAUUUCUUGAUGAUGACCAAUAUUCAAUCCUCAUUUCACGCCUCCUAUGCCAUCACCUUUUCUAAAUCUACCGCUGAUUCUCCCGUCUUUCCCUAAUUUUUCACAAACACAUCCAUCUUUCCCAAAUCCACCACCAACAUCAUGGCCUCAUGCCUGCAAAAUCCACCGCUCAUCUCCAAUUCUACCACCUCCUAUUCCGCCACCUGCACAAAAUUCACCAUCAACCCCAUAGCCUCUACCAUCAUUUUUUAAUUCCACCACCAUACCAUAGCUUUUCCCUUGCCAAAACCCACCAUGGACAGCUCUGAUCCUAUGCCCACAACCAAGUAAAAAAUAGAAAAUAAAGAAGUAACAAAUUUUCAAGGACACAAACGUCUUUUUGAUCAGAAAAAUUGAACAUUUGCAAAUAAAUUUGUAUUAAGAGGUAACACAGUCUUUUUAGUCAGUAUAAUGGUAGAUUUGUAAAUAAAUUACAUUAAAGGGUAAAAAAGAUAAGGGGCAAAAACACAAUUCACCAGAACUUGAGGGCAAAAACACAAUUCAUCAAAGAUAUAAACAGUGUUUUUCCCCUUGUUGUUUUAUUUUAUAGAAUGUUGAUGAGUGAUGACCCAAAACUCUCAAGUCAUCUACGGCCAACACAAAAGUGAAAUGAAAACAGUAGAGCCAUCUCAGACCUUAAGUCUUCUCUAUGAACUUAGACUUGAACUUUAAAAGAGCACAUAACAGCAGAUGAAGCAAUCUAACUAAAUGAUCAUGGGUAAGGUGGUGCUGGGUCAAUAUUUUUGAAUAGCUCAACCUUUAUAUGGUUUGAAGAGCAGCCUGUACCUGAUGAACACCAACAGAACUCAGAGACCCCUCACGUUUUACAUAUUAGAAAAACCAAAUUCCUUCAUGUGGCAAUGUGACAUGAAGCAAUAGACAAUGUGACAUUGCCUGAUAGGUUCAUACAACCAGUUCAAUAAGCACUCGAGAUGAUGCAAGUAUAAAGUAAUGAUUCUUGAUCAAGAUAUUUUAAGGAACAGAAAAUCAAUGCGAGAUAAAACAGGACACUUACCAUUAACUGAGAACCUCUUCAAAAAUUCCACUCCUUCCAUUUCUUCUAGAAGAGCCUCAGAGUUCAAGACUAUAAAUCCAAUUUACAGUGUCAUCAAGAACAUACAUUCUGCACAUACGCUUUGCCUUGGUACACAUCCAACAGUUGAGGUACUCGGCUGAGAUAUCUGUUCACAAACCUAUCCAAGAAGUACUCCUCCAACCUCGAAAGAACAUUAGCCAAAUUCAACUUCUCCUCCCCUAUCAAUCCUUUCAAAACCAAAACUCUAACUGAAAACCUCGGGAUGAUUCUCUUCUCCAAGCUGUAAAAAAAUCUCCAAGCUGUAAGAAAAAACAUGGGGAUAUUUUGCAAUCGUGUGGGAAUCCCACCCCAUCUUUUUCACUAGGAAAUCCAUUGUGUCCAUUGGUUUCUUCUCUGACAACAUCAUACACAGCGGAUACGCCCUGAAGGCAGAAACACAAUGAUCCUCAGACCAACCCCACCUCCUAUAAGCCUCUCGACAUCGUUUCCAUGUCUCUUUUGCAGCCAAUACAUUCAUGGCUUGCACAAAACUUGUCUUCUGAGGGUCAAAUCCCAUUUCCUUGACCUCACCCACAAGUUGGCUGAACAAUUCAGGCUUUCUCGUCACGAUACCAGCAUAAUCUGUCAGCGACAAAGCAAUACACGACCCGGGCAUGCCCAAUUCUCUCACAAACUCACUAUUCGGCACUACUUUCUUGGAUAAGUUACUUGCGAAAAUAUAUGAGCUGCGCUUCCAAGCACUGACGACCUUGACAUCAGAGACCACAACGCUUUUAAGCAUGUUAUAACAGGGUACAAUAAAGUUUUCCAAGCUUCGCAUCAAAAUAACUGGGUUGGAGGUCAGUACUCCUGCAAGGUCGAGCCUUGAGAUUCCUAUGGAGCUGAAAAACUCAAGCUUUGGCAAAAGGGUUUUCUGGGCAUUGGCGACCAGAAUAUAUGGGUGUCUACACACAAGAGCUGAGAUCUGGGUAUCUGAGAAUCCAUAGAGUUUCAAAAGCGCUAAAACGGAAUUUGGUUUCUCUAAAGAUUGAAGCUUUACCUUGGGGGAUACUAGAGUAGCGGAUUCUGGGGGCAAUCCACACGAGCGAACCAGGUAAGAGACUGUACAAUCGUCUUGGACGGGUCUGGUACAAAACAGCUGCUUCUGAAGACCAAACUGUGAAUCCAAUCCCUCCACUGGGUGCUCAUAGUUUCUAAACACACGAGCUGAUCUGAAGACCCUUUUGAAAAUGGAGAAGGCGGCCAUACUGAUACCCUACUGUUUCAGAGUGAGGAGAUUGUUAAUCCCCCGUUUGGGAACUCUUCUAUUAAAUAAGAUUUUGGAACCCUUUCAAGUAGUGCAGCAUACCCAUUGCCAGUAACAUUGUGACAAAACACAACAAGGUUAAUACUUUGCAGUUUGCCGUUCGUCUUGGAACUUAGACUCAAAACAUUCAACUCCUUUUAACUCGUUUCUUGUUGAUACAACGUAUAGGUGCCUCUGAUAAGAAAAAGAAACAAAAAGACGUGUAUACCGAGAACCUGUAUCUUCUAUAUAUAAACUUACUAGUGCAAUAUCCGAACGAACAGAAACCUAUUUAGUAUCCUCAUCAGAAUUCUCUACUCGAAUCCAACUCAAGCAGGAUGGACUAAUUUCUGGGAGAGAAGAGCCUGCAGGGAUCCAGCCUCAGCUACAGGCGGACUGCAAGUAAAGUUUUGGCAGACAAGAGCAACCACUUUGUCUGCGGCAAAAUGACUCUUUGCCAUCAGAGCGAUGUUGCUGUUUUUGUCUUCCCAGAAUUGCAUCUCUUCUGAAUUUGUUGGAUCUAUGUGAAUAACCUGUCAUUGGUUGCACAACAAAGUGGUGUUUACUAAAGAAGAUCAUAAGAUAUUCCAGAAAAACUGCAGCGUUACAACUUGCAUAAGUUCACUACUCACUGUUUUGUUGGUAUCAUAUGACGCAUGAGCUGCAGCCAGCAUGGUCUCAAACUCAUCACUUCUCUGGCCAACCAAGACAACUUGCUUCCGAGAAGGGGCAGUGAGCAUGUCAGAGGCACAACACAUUAAGGGUACUGCCAUGGCCAUGUCCUUUAAUCUCUUCUCAAAGACCGCCUGUCAACAGAACAGAAAAUGAAAGGCUCAAUAGAGAUAUAUUCCUGGAUAGUGAAUUUGUAAGAUCAGAAUUUUGGUUUACGAACCAGAACAUGUUCAGCUUCCUGUCUGUAAUGCUCAGACUUGUUGCCAGAUAGUAAGGAUGCCAGUCUCACAAGGUUGAUCACAGAAACCGAGUUUCCGGAGGGCUCUGCCCCGUCAUGAUCUUCCUUCACACGAAGGAGAACAUUGGGGUCAUCACCUGGGGUAUUGAAAUAGCCGCCUCCCUCUUUAUCAAGAAAUAUUUCAUCCUGGAAAAUAUGUCAAACAAACUCGCAUCAAGUCUAGGGAAGAAGGUGAAAACUACAAGACUUAGAGAUGGCGGAUAAUAUUUCUUGCCUGCAUUUCUUGCAGUUCAAUUGCCCAAACUAGCCAGCUGGUUUGACCACCAAAUUCAUAAAGAUCCAAUAAUCCUGAAAUAAGAAAAGCGUAAUCAUCUAAAAAUCCAGGUGCUUUAGAUGGGCCGUUCCUGAAGCUGCGUUGCAGUCUAUGAGAAUGCUCAUUGUAAAGGUGUCGCCUGAUAAAAGAUGCUGCCUUUUCUGCAACUUCAACGUACUCCCGUGGCUGACAUAUUUGUGAUGUAACACAUCAGAACAAUCAGUGAAGUAAAAAGAUGUCCACCGAUGUGACUAUCAUGGUUAACCUUACAGGCCCCCUGCCCUACGAACUGAUAAUUAUUACAUUACAUCUAAAAUGGAAAACAUUAAUUAUUAAGAAAAUGUUUUACUAAAAGAGAUUACGCCGUGAAUGUAACACUCAAAACUUCAAAACUAGUACACAAGUCCAAUUUCCCAUAAAUGAAAACGAAUUCAACACUAGGCAUUUUCCAAAACCACCAAACCUUCUUUUCCACGUAUAUUAACAACUCGUAUGACUACUAAUAAAGUGAAAGUCAGUGAAGGCUUACAUCGCAACCAACAACAGGGAAGUUAAAUUUGAUCUCCUUGGGUUCAUUCUUCAGAAUUUUAGAAGCUCUUGCAAAGGCUGAGAUGGCCAGUCCAUUCCAUGCUACAAUUACCUGGCAAAAUCUGAUUUAUCAAUUUCUGGGUGACAGAUAAAAAGAAAAGGAUAACAGAAUGAGGUGAAUCCUACGAAAAUUUGAAUUGAGAGAGUAACACCUUGUCAUCCAAAUGUGGUCUCGGUCGACUACAUCUUAUUUCAAACAGCUUUUGCCUGCUCCGACCCAGAAUAUCGAGGUAUUUCUCAACCGCCAUAGAAAAUUUUGAUGCCUCAGAUUCACUUUUUCUCUCAAUGAGCACAUUCUUACCCUUAAAUUCAUUAUGAGGAUCACUCAUUCUAGAGAGGUCACAGUUACCUGAAGGCUUUAUGUAAUAGUGGUUCUUAAAAAGUGUUGCAUCUUCCCCAAUUAUAUCUUCAACCUAAAUAGAAUCAGACACUUAAUAACAGAAAGAGAAAAAUAACACAGUAGACUAAAUAUCACUAGUGACAGAUAAAAUUCACACCAUUGAAGUAACUCUAAUGCAGACACACAGCCAAAAUUAGGGAAAUGCUAAAGUCGAUGGAGAAACCUCUUUGCUAGACCAAACAUAGAAUGCUCCUUCCUUUUUCCUAGUAGCACCUUCAGAUUCAGCACUAUCAGCAUCUUCAGCUGAAUAUAUUUCGCCUUCUAGUCCAAUCAUAUCUCUCCUCAGAUAAUCAAGAACAUCCCGAGCAAUAGAUGCAUAGAAUACAUCUUUGGUGAUAGAAAAUGCAUCUAGGAAGACAUUAACAAGUUGGCCUUGAUCAUACAACAUCUUCUCAAAGUGUGGUACUGCAACAUAACACAAUAAUCUGUUACAAAUAUGAACCAGAGAAAAGAGAUACUGGGCAUGGUGACCAUGAAACAAAUGCAUUCGAUUAAAUAAACAGGUCACUCUGCAAUCAUGCCUGUCAAGUAGAGAUUUGAUGGAAGUAAAAUUCUAUAAAAAGAACUAACCAUGCCAGCACUCAUCCACACUAUAUCGGUGGAAGCCACCUCCUACGUGAUCGUGAAUUCCCCCUCUUGCCAUACAUUGUAAGGUGAAGAGAACCUGUCUCACAACUUCAUCGGCAUUGGCAGGACUUCCAGUCUCCUCCAACUUCUUUGAAUAAUAAAGCAUCAGCUGAAUCUCAACCGGUCUAGGAAACUUUGGGGCUGAUCCAAACCCACCAAACUUCGAAUCAUAACUUUGAGAAAGCUUUAAGAAGAUCAAAUAAAUGCAAAUGCAUUAGAGCUGACUUCUUGUGCAGCAAGAGAAACAAUAAUACACGACUCAUGUUUUUCACCACAAAGUUGAAUAUACGACUCAUGUUUUCCACCAAAUAGUUUCAUUACGAGCUCCCUCUUCUUUGAAGCUUAAUGAAACAUCAGUGACUAUUUGCCCAAAACAAAAAAAAAAGGUGACCAACAUGUUUCCCAAAAUGCCCUUAUUAAAAAGUGAAGAACAGAAAGAAAGUUAUUAGGUAUGCAGCAGGUCUUUGACUUGCAACACCAAAAGCUCAUAAGUAACAGUAUGGUUCAUGGCUCGUCGCAAACAGAUAAGAAAAUUCUCAAAUAAGGCUACAUACUUGCUCAGCACAUAGACGCAAAGCAUUCUUUGGAACCCCAUCUGACAAUUUUUUAGAACUUGCACUCGUUGACAAGGCUUCUGACAACUGUUCAAUAGCAAAGGCUCCACUCUUAACAAGCGCAUCCCUCUUGGUCUCCCAGGCUUCUUUCACCUUUCUGAAGCAAAAGGUGCAGAUACAGGUAAUGCUUAGAAUCUAAUCAACAUUGAACUGUGCUGAAACUUUCAAGUGUUUGUGCCAAUCAAGAUAACCAUGGAAGGGAAGGGGUGGUAGGGAGGGGGCAGAAUUGUAAGUUAAUUGUUCAAAGACUGAACGCCUUCUCACCCAAGUAUUGUCUUAAAUCCUAGUCUUCCAUACUUGUCCUCUGGGGGAAAGUAAGUUCCACCCAUCAAAGGUUUUAAAUCUGGGGAAAGGAAUGCAGUCAGUGGCCAGCCUCCACCACCAUACAGAGCCUGUACAUAUGUCAUGUAUACCUGGAAGAAUAAAAAUGGUCUCAGCACAUCAUGCUGCUCAUAUAACAGAUGCGAAGUUGUUACUAUUUUUCUGAAAAGGGUUCUUCUCGAACAACUAGAAAUCAUUUGUGCCAGAACAAAAAGUUGCUGUGAUGAAACAAUUUUUAUUUUUUUUCAUAUGGCAGGCAUAUUAGAGCUUCUAUGGUUUUACAUAAAAUGAAGUUGAACCAGACCGUUAAUCACCAGUAAGUAUAUGUAAACUUUUAAGCACAUUACUAACUAAGCCUCAUGCUCAUGACUAUAAUCACCUUUCAUAUUGUCUCCUAAUCUUUUGGAAAUACAAAAUGCUCCUGAGAAUCUUUAAUAUCAUUAAAGAUAACAUAACAAUUAGAAAUUCAAAGACUUUUAAAAAAGAAUUCCCAAUCAUAUGUUAGGAGCUCCGGAAGGCCUACUAGUAACUUCUGGUAUUAAUGAUGGUAAUUUUCUAAGUUUAUAAUCAUGAAUCAUUCACCUUAUCCACAUCUGGUCUUUCCUCCCGGUCCACCUGCGGUAAUAGUAUGUUAGAAAAAAGGACUACAGAAUCUCACAUAAUAACUGUGAUACUGGGUAACUUGAAAAUGAGGUAAAUGAAAUAAGCAACAGAAUCAUAAUUUGACUCACCUUAAUACUAACAAACCACUCAUUCAGCAACUUGGCAAUGCCUUCAUCCUCAAAAGACUCGACCUCCAUAACAUGACACCUAAAUGACAGUUCCACACACCAAACAAAUCAGUUCCAGUUCAUUUUCCAACUUCGAAAUCCAAUACAAGUAUAAUCAACUCAAAAUUCAAAUAAGAACCCUCACCAAUGGCAUGUGCUGUACCCGACUUCACAUGUAAAAAGCAGCACACUUUGAAUGAGUAAUCAUCUAUCAAAUGCAUCACAUAAAAAAUGUCUACUUGUUCAACGCAAGAAUUAUAUAACAAUUUUUACUUGAUAAGAAAAUGGGCACAUCUCUCUUUCGAGCUUCAGCGAAAGCCUCUUCACCCCAUGGAUACCAAUCAACCUUGUAACACAAUCAAAAUCCCAUCUUUAACAUUAAAGUAAACAACUUUCAACUCAAUCAUGCCAAAAACAUAAAAACUGAGAAAAAUCAGAGAUACCGGGUUGUGGGCGUGUUGAAGGAGAUAAGGACUGUGCUCGGCAGCGAGGCGAUUGGUGUGUUUGUGGGAAGUUGGGUUCGAAGUAUGUUGGUCAGCCAUGGCAAGAACCUUGGAAGCGAAGAAGGGUCGAUGAGAAAUGAAAGAGUGAGGAAGUGGGUGUGGUUUUCUGGGUGAGGAGAGUAGUUUUGUUGGGUUUGAAGAGAGGAAGCGGUGAGUAAGCCUUUUGAGCAUAGAAUGAUGGAGAAGCAGAGAAGGGUGAGGAGGAGGAGAAGAGGAGGAGGUUGGUGAAAGUAUAGAAGAAAUUGGAAGGGGGGUAGUUGGUGGUGCUGCCAUGUGUAGGGAAGGGGUGAAGAGGAGAGGUGAAGAGUGCCAUGUGGAAGCUGAGCUUGUUUGACAGUUGGAGUGGACCUGACUGGUGUAUAGUGUUAACUAACAGGUGGCCCAGCCUUGAGCAUACAUCCAUGUUUCACAGGAUAGGGGGUAUCUAUGAGUAACGAGACAAGGUACAAACUUUUAUGGAAAUUACUCCUCCACGAUACGGUGUACAUGUGUGCAUGUUUACCAACAAGUAACAAAGAUCCUGAAAAAGGGAAAAAGUUUAAACUGUAUCUGACUUUUUAACGAAGUAAAACUUUGGUAUCUCAUUUUUUAAAAAUUUUAAAACGGUAUCCCACCUUUCGACCCCGAUAUAAGAUCGGUAUCUGGGGCUAACGGGGGAUGUUGGCUCCAUUACAGAGCUUGGCAGGUGGCAUCUUUUGCAGGGUAUUUUAGUCUGUUCAGUCUCUCCUGCCAAUUUAUACCAUAGUUGGCGCCAUGAACUUUUAAUGGGGUAGAUCGGUUUGAAUCUGUUCUUAACAGGCGACAAUGCAGCUACUCCGCGCAUAUUAGCUCUAUUUUGUCUGCUCCUUCACAAUGCAGAAGUUGAAACUAACAAAGCAAACAAUUCCUGGAGCAAAAUGAAAUCAACAACCAUCAAGUAUUUCAUAUUGCAGCAAAGCAUGUCGAGUUCCUCACCUAGUAAUACUUUAGAAGCAAGUAGAAGCACAAAACAAUAGUAAUAGUUCCUCACUCUUCUUACACUUCUUUAAUUUCUUCACCAUCUCCAAAUCCCACGAAUUACUCUUCAUCAAACCAAACCAGCAACUCACAAAUCUACGAAUCAAGAGAUAAAACUUGUCUAACCUCAACGCGUCGAUGCCGGACCAUUCGCGGCGCAUGGUGAGCAGAAACACCGAGAAGUACUAGACGGCGAGAGGGAGGUGGAGGUUGUGGAGGAGAGAGGAGAGGCGAUCGAUGAGCUGGGCCUGGGCGGGGGCCUUGUCGGCGUGCCACAUGCAGUAGAAGAGGCCUUUCCAGAGCUUCCUCAUGUCGUCGUCGGAGAGGUUGAGCUGGGUGGGGAGCCAGGUCUUGAGGAGAACCCUAAGGGCACGGCCGCGGCUGCCUUGGUUGCACGACGCGAGUUGCUUUAUGAGAGCUGGGCCGGAUUCCGAUGCCAUUUCGGCGUCCAUUUUGGCUGCGUGUAUUUCCUAUUGUUUUGUGCUUCUACUUGCUUCUGAAGUAUUACUAGGUGAGGAACUUGACAUGCUUUGCUGCAAUAUGAAAUACUUGAUGGUUGUUGAUUUCAUUUUGCUUCAGGAAUUGUUUGCUUUGUUAGUUUCAACUUCUACAUUGUGAAGGAGCAGACAAAAUAGAGCUAAUAUGAACGGAGUAGCUGCAUUGUUGCCUGUUAAGAACAGAUUCAAACCGAUCUACCCCAUUAAAGGGUCAUGGUGCCAACUAUGGUAUAAAUUGGCGGGAGAGACUGAACAGAUGAAAAUACCCUGCAAAAGAUGCCACCUGGCAAGCUCUGUAACGGAGCCAACAUCCCCCGUUAGCCCCAGAUACCGAUCUUAUAUCAGGGUCAAAAUGUGGGAUACCGUUUUGAAGUUUUUGAAAGGUGAGAUACCAAAGCUUUGCUUCGUUAAAAGGUCAGAUACGGUUUUGACUUUUUUCCCUCCUGAAAAAGAUAGGUAAGAAUGACAAUACAUUUAUUUGAGUGAAAUUCUAUAUAAGUUUGAGUCUUAAUAUUGACAAGUUUCUUAUUAGUAGGUUUACUGAGUAAUCGGGAUCUACGGGACUUAUAUAAUGUUGGUAAAAAUUGUUAACAUCUAAAUCUAAAGAGUUCGGGUUAUCAAUAGUUCAAGUCAUCAUAAGGUCUGACUGUUGAAUGUCUACAGACAAUAAGGUGAAAAACCUUGAGCCAACAAGAUAUAUAUAUAUAUAUAUAUACACACACACAAUGUUGAUCAGGUGCGGACGUCCGCACUAAAGUUUUGUUGCGGAUUUCUAUUUUUGCACCACUUCCUGAUCGAAUUUCCUCAAACUUCUUUCUAGACAUAUCUAGAUCAUCUUGUGUAGAUCAUCUCUGCAAAAUUUCAACCAAUUUGGUGAUCGUUAAGGCCCUCAAACUCGAAAACAAAUGGACUGACUGAAUUCUGUCCGGUUGUGUUCAUACCAGAAAAACUCGAGUUUGAGGGCCUUAACGAUCACCAAAUUGGCUGAAAUUUUGCAGAGAUGAUCUACACAAGAUGAUCUAGAUAUGUCUAGAAGGAAGUUUGAGGAAAUUCGAUCGGAAAGUGGUGCAAAAAUGGAAAUCUGCACCAAAAACUUUAGUGCGGACGUCCGCACCUGAUCAACAUUGUGUGUGUGUGUGUAUAUAUAUAUAUAUAUAUAUAUUACCUCUCUCAUGUGAACCAAGAUGUUAGUUGGGUUACUGACACACGGUUCAUAAUGUUUUUGAGUUCGUCGGCAGCCUCCCCUUAAUCCAAUUUCCUUUCAUAUAAAAAGAGGGUUCACCUUUCAGAUUGAUAUAGUACAAAAAUAAAGAAAAAUUUAAUUGUAAAAAUUAUGAAAAUGUCAUUUUUGAAAAGUUAUAAAAAGGUUAUUAAAUGUCGACUAUGUUCUCUGUAAUAUAUAAAUUGAUACACUACCACAGUGCCAUCCUCCCUAGUCCCGAACUAGUCUAGACCUAUUCCCUCUCUUGUUUCUAAGCUCUUACAACAUGGAACACUUUUAGAAGCUUUGUUCGUGAAUUCAGCUAACCACUAGCUGAUUCAACCUUGAACGCUUCUUGGGUUGGUUGCACUACACAUCCCUCAUGGUAUGCAACAUGAUAUGAGUUGAUGAAAUAAGUUUUGAGUUCAAGCUCUAAGGUUUACAGUCACGAAGAAGACUUAGAGCAGCAUGAACAAUGCAAGAUAGAACUAGACUCAACAAAGAAAACGCAAUAAGGCAGUUUUCAACAACCAUUGAGCAAAGCCAAUGCUAUAGAUAUAUAUAUAGGCAGACAAGGCAUCAAAGAUGAUGCAAGCUAACCUCUACAUGUUUCAGAAAGGUUUGGACAAAAGUGUUUGGUUCCCCAUACUGAAAGUGAUGUAACCAAAUGGAGAGUUGACACAAGCAACCUCAAUAAGACAAAGAUACCUUUCUAAAACAUGAACGAUUCCAAACAGGGAGCAAGAGGUUUGAAACCCUCUUACUCAGUCCAUCAGUGGACCUUGACACAGCCGAUAGCGACUGGUCUUUGAAUCACACAGAGACCAGCUUUGUAUUGGAUAAUGUAUCAUAAAAUCCAAGCUGGAGCCUUGAGCAUCAAACCAUUUGGUCACGGGUUGGCAUAACAAAAGAUCUCAACCCUUAGACUGGUUUGAGCGCCAAAGCACUUCUCACAAACUCAGUUGUCCAUUUGAAUUUGAAAGACUUAUUAAACUAAUAUAACAGACUUUGAAACUCAGGACAGCAGAAGACUCAAUACUAGGAUAGCAAGCGAGGCUGCUAACCUCUGUGAAAAACAAUGAUAUGCAGAUGCAUGUUUUACCUGAAACCAUAAGGGAUAUUAGUGCCACUUGUUCUUGAUCAGACAACAGCAUCUUAAGGUGUUUUACAGGAUAAAAAGGAUUGCCAACUAUCCUUAUACCUUCAGAAAUGAUUGUUUUCAACUCAGUCAACAUGUUACCGAUCAAAGUAAGAUUCUGACAACUAAAACCUGGUUUUAAUUAGCACUUACAAUUUUGCUCUUAGCAACUGAAAAGCACGAUGCUUGUUCUGAAGUUGAGACCUCUCUUCGAUCACUACAGAAGAUGCGGAUGCCAGUUGGCUUAUGGACAAGAUCAACAGCUGUCUCCACCUUGUUGACAUUCUGCCCUGCAUGACAAUGUUGCAUAUAUAUAAAGUUGUGGCAUACAAGGAAGUCGAUACUAAAAAAACAAAAAAUAAUAAUAAAAAAUAAAAAAAACCUAUAUCGAUCCAAACUUCAUCAGAUGGUGUUUUCCUCGUCCUGUAAUUCCUUAUCUAUAUAAAUUUGGAAAUCCCUAUAAUCCCUUGUUCUAAAUUUGAAUUCCACCGGUAAAAGAAUGCAUAUGUGAUAUGUGUUCUAUAUAAAGCUAGCCCAUGGUAGAGUAACUCGUUAUUUAGGUUUCGCAGCAUAUAUAGCAUCUGAUCUACCCUCGGAAGGAGAAUCUGCACCUUAAUAAUAAUGACAUAUUUACCUUCAACAAUGGCUACUCCGGACCGCCCCAACGAACCCCCGACCACCCUCGGACAGAGAAUCUGCACCUCAAUUUGCCUCUUUAUUCUAUUAACAGUCGUUUUUGGAUUGAUUGGUUGGCUAAUCUAUACGGGGAACAUAAAGCCUUCAUCCAUACAUUUCGAGGUCGAAUCCGCCACCGUCUCACAACUCAUCACAGAAGGCAGCUCCUUGAGCGCCACGUGGGACAUUACUCUCCUCGUCGGUAACCCUAACCGCAAAUACAAAAUGUGCUUCGACCACGUCCAGGCAGGGGUUCGCUACCACUACGUCGGUGACAUCGUAAUCGAGCUAGGGAGUACGCCUACAUUGCCAAUUCACUUUGCUUUGAAACGGAUGAACCAAACACACGUACCUCUUGGUUUAAAGAUAGGAGUGGAGAGGCUGUGGAUCGGCGAUGCCGUGGCACAACAAAUCUCCAACGACAGGUCUCGCGGGUCGGUGACGUUUGCUGUUACAGUGGACGCUGUUGUGAGGUUUAAGGCUGUGCUAGCGCCUGUAGAUGAGUAUCGGCUUAGGUUUACCUGCGAUCAGGUAGCUUUUGCGUUUUCCGGGAAUAAUGGUACCGGCAUAAUGACGAGUCAGCUUUCGUGCUCAGUGUUGAACACAGAAUCUAACACAGAAUCUGAAUCUUGGGGUUUUAUUUUCUGAUGAUACAAAUAUAGAGGGCCGGAUAAUAACUUUGUUUAUGAAUGUUGGCCAUUAGUUUCGUAAGUUUUUUUUUUUUUUUUUUGUAAUUAUUGGUUAGCUAAUAGGUUUGGUAACAGAUUGGCUCGUGUUGUUAUAAUAGGUUUGUUUAUUAAUGAUAUGAGUAAACCUUCUUCCAAAAAAAAAAACCAAGAAAUCCCAUUAGUAGCUACAAUAUUGCUCUUUUCUUAACCAAUCACUCCAGUAUUGUCAAGCUAUUGGAUUGUUGUUUGGAGACUGAUGUCCCCAUACGGGUUUAAGAGUUAAUCACAAAUGUGACUCUUUCAACCCAUCUUCACCCGUCCUCAAGCAGACAGUCGUGAAAAAUCUGCCUUAAAAUUGCCAAGGAAGUUGCGGCUGCACUUGCAUACUUGCAUUCCAAGACUUCUAUGAGUUCUAUAUCCCUAUCAUACAUAAGGCCUAAGAAUAAAUUCAGGGUUUUGAUCCAACUAGUCAGAAUGGGAUUCAAUAUUACAUAUCCAAAUGGGAUAUGAGCUCAGCUAUUCUUCAAAAUAAAUAAAAAAUAGAGAAAGAAAAAGAAAAAAUUGAAACCGUUUUCUCCAUAGCACAUUUUCCGGAACAACAGUGUGUGAAUCUUACAACAAUAUAGGCUUCAGAUAGUUUGCUAUAGGGCUGGGCACGGGACGGGAAUGCGUUUUUAAAAAUCUGUCCCGUAUGUCCCGAUUCCGACAAUAAUUUUUUCAAGAACAAAUUAAUUGAUAUCAAACACCAUCACAGGUGGAAAAACGGGUUGAGAAACUCCAAACAUUCAAAUGCUCCACCAAAAUUGAUCAGUGUUUGAAAUUUUCGACAUUUUUAUGCUGUUUGGAACAACAUUAAUGAAAUUAAUGGAAAAAAAAAUCCAAAAACACAUAAACAAAAAAAAGAACAUUGAUGAAAUUAAAAGUACUAAAAUCAACAAGAACAUAGGUGCAUAGGUGCUAAAUUACAUCCCACUUUAAAAAUACUAAACAUCCCACAUUAAAAAUUAACCCUCAAACAACAACUAAAAAUAUCCAAAAUCACAAAAAAAAAAAAGAACAUGAAUGAAAUUAAAAGUAUUAUUUUAGACCAAAUUAAGUGUGGUUGAGUUCAUUGUAACAUCAUGCAACCUCAAAAAUCAAGUAUAAAAUAAAUAAAAUCAUGUAUUCUAAUAUUAUGGGACAGGACGGGAUUUUUCGGGAUAGUACCGUCCCGUCCCGUCCUGUUAUGGUAAUGUUAAAACAGGACGAGAUUGCUAUUUUCAAAACCUAUCCCGUCCCGUCUCGCUAACUUUCGGGACGGGACCGGUACGGGAUCGGGAUUCCGGUACUAAUUGCCCAGCCCUAGUUUGCUAUUACCCAGCUGGAGCUCCUGCAGAUUCAGCAAGUUCUUCCAGGAGUUCCUUUUGCUCCAAGGAUGUAACUGCUUGCAAAAAAGCAGGAAAAUCAAUUGCAGCGUAAUUUCUAACUUAAAAUUUCAUGCACCUCUAUCCUUCUACAUGUAGUAUGCAACUAUCGAUGAAGAAAAUGGACAAGUCUUAAGCAGCCAGUCAAAUUCAUUUAUUUACCAACACUGUACUGUCAAUUAAUAAGCCAUUCUAUUGAUACAAAUGUUCUCACACUACGUCCUUUUUGGCUUCAGACGACAGAAGACGUUUAGUCUGUCGUCCCGAAUAUUGUAACGACAGACAUUUAAAAGAGUGUCGUCUGAAAAUAGCAACUCAAUAGUAGUUAAAAUUAACGUGUUUUUGAGACGACAUACGUUUGUCGUUCAAAAAACAAGGAAAAAUGUACCCUAAUGUUACACUUAUAAGACGACAGAAAACUGUCGUAUGGUGAAGAAACUUAAAUGUGUCUGAAGCUGUUUUUUUUUUUGGUCAUAAUUGGAGGAGUUUUUUUGACACUUAAAACCAACUCUCAUUCUCUCAACUCCCCCGAUACUUUUCUUUACUUUUCUCAACUCUCUUUUCUCUCUCUCAGUGUUCCUCACCCACAUAACCAAAAUCUCUCUUCCUCCUCCCUAAAAACCAAAUUCUCUCCUCUUCACAUUCUCAAAUUGAUCGAAUCCUCUCCUCUAUCUAAUACCCUAAAACUAAUUUCUCUCAUCUAGAUCUGGAGACCCAGAUCUACCCCAAUUUCAACCUCCCAAACCCUAAAUCUCCAAACCCUCGCAAACCAUAUUCACCGUUAAGGCCACCACCCGGAAGAGGCGCGCGGCCAAGCCCGACCAAGCCAAGUCGGCCAACGUCAAUCUCAAUCUCGACCUUUCCAGGUUUUUUUCUCCGCCGUAACGACAGCGCUGUGGUGAGAGGAGAGUCCAGGAUGGACGGGGUAGAGGAGGACCUUGGUGACGAUCUCGUUGGUGGUGGGAUCGGCGAGGAAGUCGACAGUGGCGAUGCGGUAGAGAAUGAGGGGCUUAGAGAGAACACGAGGGGAGAGAAGAAGCGGAGUUGGUGGAGUGUUCGAGGUGGCCUUGGGGGAAGUAGCAAACCCUAGUAUGGAGGGUGGGGAUGGUGACGGAGUUGCCGGCGCAGGCUCGCCAGAUUUUGGGGUCGAUGGAGACGAGCUGCAGGGGAGGCGGCGGCACGUGGGAGUGAGAGAGACACUGAGAAUUGGAAGACAUGGUGAUUGGGAUUUAGAGAUUGGAGGAAGAAGAGGAAUGAAAUCUCUCUCUUUCUCUCUCUUUCUUCUCCAGGUUUUGCUAGGUUUCCAAUGGCCACCAUUCCAGGACAGUUGAUCUGGGAGAUCACCAAGAAGGAGGAACAAGCCUGCGAGCUUGGUUCACAAGUCUGUGAUGAGGAAGGAAUUCCCUCGCAUGGCCAAGGCUGUUACUAAUCAGGUACCAACAUGCUCGAUUUACAAUUCGUUGUUUUGUUGAUGCAUAUGUGUUUUGUGGAAUGUUAUGAAUGAGGAUAGGUCGACUUGAGUUUUGUGGAAUUCAUCUUCCACCACGACUGUUGGUUUCUCCAUCUAUAUCAUUGGCUAUGUAACCCAGACAAGACUCCAAAGGUCAAGAUUCUUAAACUCUUUGUUAUGAGUUUGUUUCUAGUAACAUAAUCUAUAUUUUAUGUAAACACAUUAAUUAAUUUUCAUUAUCCAAAGUUCCAAACCAUUACGUAUACAUUUCUCUGAUUCCCUAACAUAUUCAUUUGAACUUUGUUAGAAUGAUAUAUAUGAAUGGCUAGCGGCUACGUACAUUCUUCCUCCGGUUCGCAUUGGCUAUCUACUUCGGUAAUAUCAUCCCAAAUGUAUCUGGUGUGAGGAAGUCAGUGUUCUACUUUUUAAAGCCAGGAUACUGGAUAGGGAAAAGUGGAAACAAAGUGGAAGGUAAAAAUACUGAAAUUCAGUAUCUGCUCAACUUUCCUUUCUAAGUUGUACUUAUGAGUUGUACUUAUGAGUUGUGACUUGAUACUUUUGUGUUCCUCUAGCUCUCUUUGGGUAGAGGGUGGUGUUUGUAGUUAGAUAGGUUCAAUUCCACCACCUGAGCAUACUGGUCCUGAUGAUGAAGAUGUCCUGGAAGAGGAGAACAUUGUCAAGGAGCAAGCUAAGGAAGGCACAGUUGGUCUAAACCUUGCAGUUUAAAUACGCGUUCUUGUAAAAACAUAUCCUAGCAAAAAACACAGUCGUUGUUGUUCCAAGAGCAAGAGGACUCCACCAUACCAUGCUCUUAAGGUACAUAACCUAUUUUGACUCGUUAAGAGAAUGUGGAUCUUAUUAUGAACCUGUUGUUCGUGUGGAGCAAAAUCUGGUGAAAUAGUCUAUUUAGAUUAUUCAUUCGAUGCAUCUUUGUCUAGCAUUUUGUACCUAGACUAUGAGAUCCUCUAGCAGAAUAUUAUGUCUUCAUCAAAUAGAUGCUCAGGCAUAUAUACCUCUUUGCUAAUUUUUAGGUGGAUAGGUCGACUGGAGUUUAGUUAUUUGUUCUUCUUUGGACUUGCUUUGUUGGCCAUAAUGCUUGUCGGUCUUAAUGACUUUAUGCAAGUAUAUGCAGUGCCAUAUAGUGAGAUGCCUCUUCUUUUUGACCUCUGUUAGUUGCUCUCUGCAUAUAAUAUGACCUGGACUAGAAAAUUGAGGUAUUUCUUAAUCGUGGUAUACUGGUAUUUCUCUGCAUAUAAUAUAACCUAGAUGCCUAGUGUAAUUUUAUGAUUGCUGCUAUUAUCAUCGACCUCAACUCCAUUGGUUUAUUUGGGUGAGUUUAUUUUACUGCUAUUGCCUUUAUGAUCAUCAUUUAAUUUAACUGUAUUUAACUUUGGUUCUUAUAUUCACUGUCAUAGAAGUACAUAGGUCUCAUCAAGUUAAGAUCCAGCAUUGGAUAUUGUAGGUACUGUAUCAUAAAUAUUCUUUGCAUGAAUGCAUCAUAAUGUUCAGAUCUUACUUAACUUCUUAUUGCUAACAUUUAAUUGUUUAUUGACAUAUACUCAUAUUAAGUUAAGAUCCAGCAUUGGAUAUUGUAGGUACUGUAUCAUAAAUAUUCUUUGCAUGAAUGCAUCAUAAAUGUUCAGAUCUUACUUACUUCUUAUUGCUGAAAUUUAAUUAUUUAUUGACAUAUACUCAUAUUGAUUCACUAAAGUUCUUUGUCUUCAAUGUUGCAGGUGACACUUGAAUGAAUGGUGCAUAUUGAAGUUUGAUGAGUAUGAUGAAAGUAUCAGAGUGCCUUAGUGCAGUUAGGACUUAGGAGGACUUUCUGCACACCACCAUAUUGUAGUUGCUAUUAUUUGGUUUGAUAUAUUUUUUAUUUUAUAGUUUAUGGGUCCCUUUAGAACAAAUAACUCUUUGUAAUUUGAUUGGUUUUGGCAAUGAGAAUGAAUUUGAGAUUUCUGAAUCAUGUUGUGCAAAUGCUUUAUUAAAUUGUCAUCCAAAUUAAAAUCAGACAACAGAUAUCCCCAUGGACAUCGACGUCUCUACAUAUUUCAAAUGACAUUUAUAUGUCGUCUUAAAGUAAAAGAUGACCAUAGUGUAUGUCGUCUGAGGUAAGUAUCAGACGACUAUUAAGUGACGUUUGAAUGCAUUUGAGUCGAGAGAAGAGGUUUGACGUAUGUCGUCUGAGAUAUAUUUAGACGACAAAAUAGUAACAUGUGAAUAAGUUUGAGACGAGAGACGGCUGCUCACAUCUUUAGUAUUACUUUAGUUUCGACGAUACUUUUAUGUCGUUAAGAAGCUUUCUAACGACAGAAACUUUAAUUUUGUUACGAAUGUAGGUGCAUACAGACGACAGUUGCUUAUAUACAAUCUGUCGUCGAAGUGGUAUCAAACGUCUAACGAGGUCUGUCGACUGAAUGCUUAUCAAAUGACUGCUUGAUAGACGACAGCCGAAAAAACAUUCAGACGACCAACCUGGCAGGUCGUCUGAAGCCAAAAUUGACGUAGUGUCAUUCUAUACCCUCUUCACAAAAAACCAUAUAUGUGAUGCAAAUGUUCACACCAAGGUAUUAGUCAUAUGCAUCUUAAAUAGUUUCUAAGCUAAACGAGUAACAGAUACCUGUGAUUUCCGUUGAUUCUGAAUCAGUUCCUGCUGCUCUCUCUCAGUUUUAUCUUAUAUGAUCUGUAAAUGAUCAUUUAUCAUCAGAACUGCACCACAGAAAAGGCGGGUGGAAAGUGGAAACAAGACAUAUAUGUCUGAAAGAAAUGAUUGUUUCCAACUCAGUCAACAUGCAUGUUACCAAUCAGAGUAAGAAUCUGAGGACACAUAAAACAUAUGGUUUUAAUCAGCACUUACAAUUUUUGUAUUGGCUAAGCAUGCAUUGAUGCAUAUAAUUCGCUUUUAGUUUAGGGGUACCAUAAUCAAAAUUUGUAACUUAUCAAUGUCUUACUACUGAUGGAGAGCAGGUAUGAGCAUCAUGGUGCUCCUUGUAGUAGGUUUUAGGAUUUCCAGGGCAUUAUUGAACAGAAAUUAAACUAGUCCAACCGAUCAAAAGAGAGUUCUUUAAACAGAAGGGGUAGAGGAAUGAUUUUAAAUAAUUUUACUUACGGGGCGAGGAGAUGACAGACCUACGUACGUACUUUGAACAAAUCCAACUUGAAUCCUACCAACCAAGCUAGAAAACUUGUUCAUAUACGUUCUGGAUUAUGUUUUUGAUAUCCAAACUUCAUCAGAGCUAGGUUGCAUUUCCUCAGCGUAGUAUAAUUCCUUAUCUCUUCUAAAUUAGAAUUCCACUGUAAAAAAAUUUCACACUCACUCCGGAACAAUGCAUAUGUGUACGUUCUAUAUAAAACUGGCCCAUGCAUGGUAAAGUAACUACGUUAUUUAGUUUUCGCAGCAUAGUAUCUGAUUCAUCUAGCAUAUAUACCUUCAAUAAUGGCUAUUCCGGUCAGAUCGGCCGCCAUCCCAUCCGCGCCUCCCUUUCCCCAUCCAUCCCUACCGGACCGCCCGUGCACCACCUUCUGCUACUUAAUACGAUGCCUAGUAAUAACCCUAGUUGUAGUUGGAGCCGGCGGUUGGCUAAUUUAUUUAUGGAACUGCCACCGUCUCCCAACUCAACACAGAAGGCAGCACCAUCAGCGCCACGUGGGACAUUACUCUCGUCGCCGUUAACCCUAACCGCAAAUUCAAAACCUCCUUCGACCUCGUCCAUGCAGGGGUCGGCUACUACUACGGUAACACCGUUAUCGAGCUAGUGAGUACGCCUAGGUUUCGAAGACACUUUGCUUUGAAAGAGAUGAACCAAACACGUUUCGAUUUCAAGAUAGGAGUGGAGAGGCUGAUGAUCGGCGAUGCCGUGGCACAAAAAAUCUCUUACGAUAGGUCUCGAGGGUCGGUGAGGUUUGCUGUUACAAUGGACAUUUUACGGGUGAAGUUUAAGGCUACGCUAGCGCCUACACUAGAAGAUCAGCAUCGGGUUGGGGUCACCUGUGAUCAGGUAGCUUUUGAGUUUUCCGGGAAUAAUGGUACCGGCGUACAGACGAGUCAGUCUUCGUGCUCUGUUUAUUUUGAUUGACAAUUAGUAUAGGUAUGGUAUGUGCUCGAUCAUUGGUUUGAACCAAUUUUCUUAGUUUUGUUUGAUUUUUUAAAGGUAGGAUGCGUCUAUUGCCACCCCACAAACCAUUUUACUCACCUCACAUUCUUUUCACAUCUCACUCAUAUAAUUUUAAUUACAAGUCUAUUUUGUUCACCCAUUAACAAUACCUAAAAUACCCUUUUAUCAAUUCUACUUUGUUCAUCCUAGCUACAUUAUCUUCUCACCCUACAUAUAUUUUGAUAUAUUUUAUCAAAUUCCGAUUCGCUGAAGGUAAGUAAAAUCACCAACUGAACAAAAAAAAUCACAUUAAAAUAUAAAUCCCAGUUAAAGAACAAGAAAAAACUCUCAAAUUUAAUAACUCAAUAAUAUCAGUCGAUAUCAUAAUGCACAAUGUCUGUAAAUGUAUCUCUAGUAGCAACGUUUUCCAUACUUUUGAGUUCUUUAACUGAUCUAUGUGUUGUUCAUAAAUAAGGUACAGUAGUUGUCCAUGGGAAUUUAGAUACAAAGUCAACAUAAGAAAUAAUGAGUAAAUUGAUAGACAAAUCACCAACAAAGAAAAAAAGAAAAAAAAGAAACACAAAUAGUUUACCUCAUCUUCAGGUUAAAUGUUGGUGUCUUCAGACUCACAACCGAUGAUAAAUUUAGGUUAAAGUUUAUGAAGUUUGUGUUCAUCUAAAACAAAAAGAUAAAAAAAAAAAAUUGUAAUUUGUAACAAUUUAUUGUCCCUUGCUGUAAUUUUACAUCAGGGUAUUUUAGUAUUUCAAUAAAUCAACAACAUGUGAGGUGAGCAAAGUGGUUUGUGAGGUGGUAAUAGACGCACCCUUUUUUAAAUUGAUGACGGGUGACAUGACAUGUCACAUAAGAUUAAAGUCAUAAAUCUUAAACCUUAUUAAGGCCCUCUAACCCAUUAAUAUAUGUUCCAUCGUUUGUUUGAACCAAGUUUCUUUUCAUGUUUGGUCCAAGACUCCAAGCACAAAUAGUCCUUGUUUAUGAUUUUUUUUAUUUUUGGCAACUUAGCAUACACAUGGUAUGUGUUGGUUUGAACCAAUUAUCUUAGUUUCGUUAGUUUUUUUUUUUAAUGAGUGGUUAGCUAAUAGGUUUGUUACACAGUUGAGCACUGUUGGCUCAUGUCGCCGUAAUAAUUAGUAUUUUAUUAAUGGUAUGAGUAGACCCUCCAAAAAAGAAAAUUGCGAUUAGUAGCUACAUUACUCUUUUCCAAAUCAAUCACUACAGUUUAAGAAUGGGACUCUUUCAAGCCAUCUUCACUCGUCCUCCAAGUAAAAUGGGACAGUCGUGAAAAAUCUGCCUUAAAAUUGCGAAGUUGCAGCAGCACUUGCAUAUACUUGCCCUCCGAGAGUUCUAUGAGUUCUAUCCUUAUCAUACAGGAGUUUGAUCCAACUAGUCUCAGUCAAUAUUCAUCUGUCUUAUAAAUUAUAAUCAUCUUGAUUUGGAUUAUGAACUAUAAUUUAGGUGCCUCAUGAGUUUGAUCUUUACAGAUAAUGGGAUUCCAAAUGGUGCCUCAGCAUUUUCUACCGGAUUAUGGUGGUAGGCGAAGCAAAUUUUAUGAUACUCCCUUGCUCCACAAUGUGGUGUAUAUAUGCUUGUUUUCUUCAUCUUUAAUGAGGAUUCUGACGAUGAUCGUCAAGAAUCGGAAGGCAUGCUUGAGUGGAACUCCACAUAAGUUCGAGCCCCAACAUGUACAUGUCCCUUUAUUAGUAGCUUGCUAAGUACUAUGAACCUGCAAUGACCCAUAUGACGUUGGUAAAACGUGUCAGAUCUAAAGAGUUUGGGUCAUCACGAGACCCGACUGUUGAUUGUAUGCGGACUUACAAUGUGAAAAAUCUCAACAAGAUAUAUUACUGCUCUUAUGUCAGUUAUGUGGAAUCGGCUUGAAUCUAGAUGUUAGAUGAUUUAUGCCUCCUCCAAAUCUAAAUAACCAAAAAAAAAAUUUUUAAAUAUGGUACAAAUUUAUAAAAAUAAAUAAAUAAAUAAAUAAAAAAUGAAUUCAAAACAUGCCAUUUCUGAAAAGUCAAAGUUGCUGAAUUUCAAACGAGUUUCCAGUACUCUAGCUAUUCACUUUUCAUUAGAUGAUUAUCAAAUUUGCCAACCAGCAAAUUUGAUGACCAACAAUGACCAUCCAAUCAAGAGAGAGAGAGAGAGAGAGAGAGAGAGAGAGAGAGAGAGAGAGAGAGAGAGAGAGAGAGAGAGANNNNNNNNNNNNNNNNNNNNGAGAGAGAGAGAUGAGUGGUUGUGAUUUGAUGGUCAUGGUGGUCAUCAAAUUUACUGGUUGGCAAAUUUGAUUCCAUUGAAAAUGUAGUCUUAUCAAUUCCCAAAAUUGAAAUUUUGUUACAGUGGUUUUGAACCCCAAGACAAUCAAAAAGCGGAAACUCAACUGUUUGCAGCGUCGAUCUAUCAAAAAAAAAAUGUUUGCAUUGUUUUUUUUUUCGAUUAAGAAAAUGUUUGCACUGUUGAACCUGAAAUUUUGUUAUGAGAUCGAGUGUACUAACUCCCUGCUUAGAUAACUAUUGCAUUAAAUCUUCAGAAGAGAAGUUGAUUCAACAACUGAGGUGAUCUAUUGCCUCAUAGAUAACUACAUAAACUAACAUCAACAAUGAGUUCGUUCAUGAUGUUUUUGUCAUUCUGUGUCAUGACCCAUGCCCAGUGUGGAAGGCAAAAAUACUCAAGUAAUAAACGUUCUUAUCAUGUCUUAUUGGGCUAGAAGUAGAACAUGCAUUUUGUAUGUAAUUUCAGUAUGUCACUCAUUUUAACGAAAUUUUCAUCUCAUAAAUAACAUAGAAACUUAGAAAGAAAGAAAAGAGAAACUAUGACUUGAUCGAGGAGAAUUGAUCGAAUAUAUACCAAUCUGUGACCGAAAAAUCUUGGUUCAUAUUGCUCGCCUUUGAAUUUCAUUAACAAAAACAAUGAAAAUGAUGAGUGACAACCCUAUAUAACUAAUACAACUGAACUAUAAACGGACAAACAUCUUAACAAAAUAUUCCAAGAACAACAGAGAGGCUAGCUAGCUAGGGGUUCUAACGAUGAAUUGAUGAAAGAAUCCCAAAGUAACAAAUUAAAAGAUGAACUUGUUCUUCCCGAGCUUCUGGAAUUUGUCGCAUCCCAGCAUAUGCGGGACCAACGAACAAGGAAUUACGGCGAUAUGUCGGAGAUCCGGAACGCGCGGUUUGAGAGGCUCAUCCUGCAUCUGCAUCUGGGUCAGACCUCCACGUCUCGCAGCGAAGUGUUGCACGCGUUCUUGAUCUCGUUUAACAAACCUUGUGAUGAGGAGGGCGUCUUGAGCGUCGUCGGUUGGGUUGGAGGAGAAGGUUGUGCUUCCAUUAGCAGUUGAUAUGAACAAGGUUGCGAAUAGAAAGCACAGAAGAAGGCAUGGUACUACUGCUUUAUUAGCCAUGGCAGAGAAGAAGAAAGUAUGUUUUUUUUUUUUCGGGGUGAUCGAAUUGUAUAUAUAGGGCUUUGGAAACUUGAGAUGCAAGAAUACUAGCUAGCUAGGUCUCCCAACUCUUAUAGGAUUAGGUUUGUAUAAGCGGCCCUACCUAGUUUUCUUUUAUAUUUGCCAACUUGAAUUCCUUUUCCCAAAUUAAAACUUGUUCGUAAACAACUUGGACUCGUAAUAAAACUGAAAGUUCACGAACUGCGUGUGUCUAGCCCUGUGACAAAAGCUUGUUUCCGGGAGGCCCCCACGAAAAUAGAUGGGUAGAAUCUGCUAUGGGGACGCCGUCCGACUACUUUUACAUCUCAAGUAAGUUAAACAUGAUCACUAUUGUUGGUUGCAAUGCAAGCACGAUGAUCAUUACCGGCACCCCUAGUAAUUUGAGCAACAACAUUGCAGAUUUGCCUCGACUAUUGAGUUGUUGUUCGGAGACUGAAGUCCAAAUGGGACUCUUUCAAGCCAUCUUCACUCGUCCUCAAGCAGACAGUCAUGAAAAAUCUGCGGUUAAAUUGCAAAGGAAGUUGCAGCAGCACUUGCAUACUUGCACUCCCAGACUUCUAUGCUCUAUCAUACAUAAUGCCUACGAAUAAAUUGAGGAGUUUGAUCCAACUAUCUCGGUCAAUAUACAUCUGUCUUAUAAUCAUCUUGGUUUGGAUUAUGAACUAUAAUUUAGGUGCCGUGCCUCAUGAGUUUGAUCUUUACAGAUAAUGGGAUUCAAAAACUACAUAUCCAAAUGGGAUCUGAGCCUCAGCUAUUCUUCCCAAAAAAAAAAAAUGAGAAAGAAAAAGAAAAGAAACGGUUUUCUCAUAACAGAUUAUCUGGAAGAACAGUGUGAAUCUUACAACAAUUAAUGUAGGCUUCAGAUGGUUUUCUAUUACCCAGCUGGAGCUCCUACAGAUUCAGCAAGUUCUUCCAGAAGCUCCUUUUGCUCCAAAGAAGUACAGGCCUGCAAAAAAGCAGGAAAAUCAAUUGCAGCGUAAAGUCUAACUUAAAAUGUCAUGAACCUCUAUCCUUCCUACAGUAUGUAUCAAUGUAGAAAAUGGAAACAUCUUACUAGAGAAAUACCUGAAUUGCGUUAUCUAUAUCACCACCAAGAAAACCGGUGAGCUCAUAGUUUAUCUUCAACCGGUGGUCAGUGACUCUAUUGUCCUGAAUCAAUAAACAAAAGAGUAAAUAACUUCCCCAAACGUAACAACAUAAUCAUGAAGAGAUUUUGUACACACUAGUCUCAUACAGGUUAGGCUAAGUUCACAAAAUUACUUGACCAGACUGACACUUGUUUAAAAACUUUAUACAAUUAUUGGGACUCUAAAUCUAAUAGUUGAAACCUUUUGAAUCAGAUAGUUUCUUAAGCAGCCAGUCAAAUCAAUUUUUUACCAACACUAUAUUGUCAAUAAGCCUAUCUUCGAGACUUCAGUGGCAGUAAACUUAAAAUUGAUGACAUGAGAAAAUAAAUCUAACUAGUUAUUAGUACCUUGAAAUUAUAUGUUCGAAUCUUUUCUGCACGAGAACCGGUCCCAACCUGCAUUUCAAGAAUACAACAUCAUUAAUGUAGUUAAUCUAGUGCCUAAAUCAUUACCUAAAUAAUGUAAUUGUAGUAUUGUUCUAUGUGUGUGUGUGUGUGUGGAGAGAGAGAGAGAGAGAGAGAGAGAGAGAGAUGGGAGGCUCUUGCCUAGAGGUCACAUUCUAUACCCUCAUCACAAAAAACAUAUAUGUGAUGCAAAUGUUCACACCAAGGUACUAGUCAUAUGCAUCUUAAAUAGUUUCUAAGCUAAACGAGUAACAGAUACCUGUGAUUUCCGUUGAUUCCUAAUCAGUUCCUGCUGCUCCCUCAGUUUUAUUUUAUACCUGAAACAUGGUCAUUGAUCAUCAAAACUGCACAAAAGAAAAGCCGGGUGGAAGCAAGACAUAUAUGUUUGAAAGAAAUGAUUGUUUUCAACUCAGUCAACAUGUUACCAAUCAAAGUAACAUUCUGAGGGCACCUAAAACAUGGAUUUAAUCAGCACUUACAAUUUUGCUCUCAGCAACUGAAAAGCACGAUGCUUGUUCUGAAGUUGAGACCUCUCUUCACUACAAAAGAUGCGGAUGCCAGUUGGCUUAUGGACAAGAUCAACAGCUGUCUCCACCUUGUUGACAUUCUGCCCUGCAUGACAAUGUUGCAUAAAGUUGUGGCAUAUAAGGAGUCCUUUCCUCUUACCAAAUUGAGGUAUGCAAAACAAUGUCAAUUCUACAAUAAACAAAUACCUCCAGCUCCCCCAGACCUUGCUGUUGUCAGUUCAAUAUCUUUUGGGUCAAUAACCACCUCAACUUCAUCCGCCUACAAUAUGGCACAGAAGAACUAUAAAUAAGGUAACAUGAAUGAUACAAUCAAGAGUAACGUAGAAUAUUAGUCACAAAAAACAAGAUUCAGAAUAUUCCGGUUGCCACAGCAAGCUUGACUUCAACAAUUUUGAGGUAAGGGGAUGAAUUUAAAACUAUAAAUAUUAUAAAGCCAUCUGGAUACAGAUUGAGGAAAGUAGAUGGUGCUACUCAAAUUCAUUAAAACAGUACAUCCAAACGGAAAUUUUGUAGCAGAUAAAGGGACAAUAUUCAACCAUAUUAGAGGGUAAACUAAUUUAUUACUAAUGGCAAUGAAAGUGGGGAAGAAUGGCAAAGAAAGUAAAAGAUAAUGCAUAUCACUGUUUUCCUCAUCAGGAAGAAUCCAAAUGAAGUACCACCUUUUCGAGAUAGUCAAUGUAAAGAACUUGGAACAUUGGUGGACCAAUGUUAGUAAUGGGUAUACAAACUUGAGCACACUUUAUUGAAUCUUUCAAAAUCCAGAUCCAAUGUAAAAUUGAGUAUUUUGUGCAAAAGAUAAGAUACCUCAGGCAUGAUGGCAACAGUUGCAGUGGAAGUAUGCACACGACCCUGUGUUUCCGUAUGAGGAACACGUUGAACCCGGUGAACACCAGACUCAUAUUUUAAUUUGCUGUAUACACGCUUUCCUUUUAUCUCCAUCACAUAGGUCUUGUAUCCUCCUCUUUCAGCCUAAAAGAAAGAAAGAAAGCUCUAUCAGUCAUGUCAAGAGCAAUAGGAUAUACCUCCUUAAAAAUGGCAGCAAAAAUACCUCUGUGCUUGAAACUGGGUUGAACUUCCAAUUGUUCCUCUCACAGUACUUCUCAUACAUACGAACCUGGGUCAGGAAAUAAAAAUAAAUAAAUAAAUAAAUGCAGAAGCAUCAAGGUAUGCUCAAAAACAACUUGAAGGAAUGACUUCAUGGACUAAAAGAAUACUUGUUUAGGCCUAUAAUGCGUGUCAUUGAAAACAAAACAUAUAAAGCGAGCUUGGUGUCGUAACAAGUUUAUCCACAUAGAUAGAUGCUGAAACAAGCUUGUCCAAAACCUAAGUUACCUAGCCCAUUGUUAUAGCUUUUCUCAUUUGGGAGAGACAAACAUUCAAGGCCAGGAAAUUUUGCAAAAUACUUGUACGAUUUUUUCCUGGUAUUCUUUUCUUUCUUUAUCACCAGUUUGGUGUUGUAUGCAAGAAAGGUAGAUUCCCUAUAGAUUUUAAAGGACAAAAAAAACAUAUACCUACAAGAUCACCUGCCCAGAUUCCAGCUUCAUCACCACCAGUACCAGCCCUUACUGUAGCAAGGAACAAUGCUAUUUUUAGUUAAAAUGAAAUUGAUGGGCAGGUACCAUCAUCGCCAGCAUAAUAAUGAAAAAAGCUGAUCUAUAUGUAGUAGGAAGAACAUGGUGAACCUAAACAGUCAUUGCAUUGUCUACCAUAUACUUGCCGUAGUUCAGACCACCCGAGUAAAGUAGAGCAGUUUACUCAGUAGAAAAUGAUACGUGGCUCACAAUUAAUCAAAUAAAACAAUUUACUCAAAAGGGAAGAUAUGAAAUUACCUUCAAGCAUUAUAUUUCUGGCAUCAAGAGGGUCUGUAGGAAGGAGUUUCGUCUGUUAAUAUAACAUGUAACAUUAUUAAAAAAAUUAAAAAAUCAUUCCAAAUAUCAGGACAAGGAACAACUGUUACUCGGAAAGAGGAGCACCAAUCUAACUGCUAAUAGCCUAAUACAAGGCUCACCAUAUCAACAAUAUUAUAUCAAAUUACACCAUAACGUACCUUAAGCUUCUCCUCAAGUUCUUUGAUUUGAUUGGACAAAGAUUCAAUUUCGUACGAAAUCAUAGCCGCCAUUUCUUCAUCAUUUCCAUCCUCAUCCGCCAAAGCUGAUACAUUGCGUCAUAAACAAGGACUUCAGCACUAAAAUACCUUGAACAUAUUCGAAACCAGAACUCUACUCAAAUAGUCAAAUUGCAGCAAACCUUUACUCUCCUCUAACUGCUUCUCACAGUCCUUAUACUCCUUAUAAAUUGACACAACCUGCCCAACAGCACAAAACCGCCUUCAGCGAAAUCCGAAAUGAACUCAAUCAGACAAAAUAUGUUAAUCUAAACUCUGCAAUACCUCAUCGAGCUCCGCCACGGAUUGCGCCAGCCUCUGGUACUCACUGGGAUUCGACACGAUGUCUGGAUCAGCUAGCUUGACCUAAUUCAAUUUUUAAUUCCCUUCUCUAUCAGAAAAACUCAAAUCUAACAACAAAGCAAGUAAAAAUUCGCAGUAAAAUAUUUACUAAUUUAAACCUAUCCAUUCUAAUCACGGUAACUAAAAAUCAUACCGAUAAUUCCUUCCAUGUCUUCUCCGCAGAUUCCAGCUUCGUAAUCAAAUACGGUGCCUGCAAAUUCAACCAGGAUUAACACAUGAAAUUACUCCUAUAACCUCAGUUCGUUAAUUACCAAGCAGAAACUGAAUGAAGAAGUUACUAAGUGGUGAAUGGACUGACCGCCAUGCAAGUGAUUCGUGGAGCUCUGGGAUGAGGUUUGGGGAUGGAAAGGGAAGUCCAUGAGUGGUGGGUGAAACGGCGUCGUGGAGGGAAUGCGAGUAAUCGCGGCGGUGCGGAGGUGGUGGUGAGGCCGCUCAUUGCCGCCGUGGGGGAGAAAAGCGCGGUAAGGCGGAGUGGUUGGAAAUGGAGGAGAUUUUGAUUCUUUUUAAGGCGACGGGGUGUGGAUAAGUUCCGUUGUGAGGUGUGCUUAGGAUAGAGCAGCUAUUAAUGGAUUCCAGUAAUACACAAAGCCCACGUUUUUUUCUUCUAGCCCAAUCUCUCAGCACAACAACGAGAAAACGGUGAAACCGUUAAACAACGACAAACGUGACACGUGGAUUAUAUAAAUAUUAAUUAUAUUAAAUAUCAUAUUUACAAUAUAUUCUACUCUUAAUCUUGUGUCAUGACUCACGCUAACAUAAACCAAAUCGAAGGAGCCGGGUGGGAAUGAGCAAAAUCAGCAAGAUAGUCUGCUACAAAGUUAACCUUACGAAACAUAUGAUGAACACAAUAUAAUCAAAUUGAGCAGCAAAAUGUGAGGAUGUCCUUGACUAGUAAAUAGUGUGAAGAACAAUAGAGACUGUGAAUUUUUAUGCGAAAUAAUUGACACUGUAAAAGUCAAGAGUUGAAAUCUCCCUGACAUCAUCAUGGGACGAGUGUGACAAGAAAAAAAUAUAGUAGUUUUAUACUUAAACAAGAAAAAGCCACUAAGCUUAAAAAGAAAUUGUAUUGAUCCGCAAAUGAUACCUAUGAACUUAUUGUUUGUUUAUUUUUAGCGAAACCUCACAGCUCAAAGUCGACAACACACCAAUAUGCCAAGCAAUGCUUGUCUGGUAGUAGCCUAGUCACACCAAUUACGGUGUGACUGAAACAGCACAACACACAGCGGGAUAUUGUCUGCUUUGGCCUCACUCUCAUGGUUUUGUUCUUGGGUUUCCAACUCAAGAUGUGUCUCACUAGUGUGCGUAAUUAUUGUUUUGGCAUUACAUUUUCUUUAUUGAAACAUCUAUGAUGAAUUAUUAAAAACUCAUAAAAAGGGGGGAGGUUGGGCCUGCACGAUUCCUCGAGUGAGAUGUACGCAGUUUAUGGAGGGGGAGAAGACAUGAAAGAGAAAAUACUUUCAUUUUUUUUUCGGAAAUGGAUCUUACCCUUCUAACAAGCCUGACUUCCCGCUUAAGAAGUACUUGAUUACCGUGCAAGCUUUGAGAAUCAGUUUACCAGAAUUUACUGAAUUGAAUUCGGUACUCCUCUUUAGGUUGCGAAACAAAAAAAUCCUUCUUUAAACUAAGAAAAAAAAAAAAAACCCACAAAGUGCCUACUCCUUACGCUCUUGCUUUUGGGGGACAUUGAUCUAAAGCUUGAGUGCGGUUCUUUAUGCAACGUCUAAAAAUAUAUCUAUGGCAAAACAAAACGCAAUUUGUCGAAGAGUAUAUUCUUUUCAAUCCAAAUAAUAAGACAAAGAAACCGCUCAACAAUGAAGGACCGCCUACCAAUCAAAGAGGAUGAGAGUAAGUGUAAGCUCACUCGUAAAC
rnacentral:lncRNA from 1 species